AAUAAUCAUUAAUUAGCGGCAGCUAGAAUCCUAUAAUCUAAUAUAUAUAUAUAAUUUUAUCAGCUCUGGGAAAUGAAGAGGCGAACGAUGCCGUUGAGAGUUGCGACCAAGCCUGCUCUAGCUUCUGCAGCGUGCAUGUUGGCAGCGCCACCGUGGUUGCUUAAGCAAAUGCAUCCAACUAGAUCGUCCUUGUGCUGAAUAAUUGGAUAUCGUAUCCACUUAAAGCUGCCUUGUGUAGUACGUCUUUGUGUCUCUCUUUAUAUUCCAAUAAGGUCGGUGAUCUUGAUGCCACACACUCAGAUGUGUGUUCAUCUCCAGAUACUACUCCAUGCUACCUGCCCUUUGUGUUUUGUUCAAUAACUGGGUAUCAUAUCCCAACCAGUAUGCCGUCUGUUUUGUGUUUGUUUCCUUCUAGUUCCAAAAGGGUCAUCAUGAUGUUACCUUCUUUCAAUAUGGUGCUUUGCAUGACUACUAUUGUAUGGUACCAUCUUGUGGCCAAUAAGUACAUCUUAUCCUAUGACCUUUGCUAUGACCCUUUGCAAAUAAGUAGAAGAUUGUUAUAAGCGUCAAUACUCCUUAUAAAUUGAUCGCUGCUGUGAGUUCCCUUUCAGCUUAUCGUAGGCAUACAUUAUUGCUAGCACGGUAAAGCCAAUCAACACGAAUGAUGAAGUAAAUGUAGCGGUACUUCUGUAUACCAACACCCUUACUUAAAUGUACCGGUGUCAUUCCCUACUGGCACAUAUAUUCUUAUAUGCUAGCCAGCUUGUAAAAUUAACCAAUUAAAAUAAUUAAUUCAAGAUAGAAAUAACUUAUCGGCUUCUCGAAGCAUGUGUAAUAUGAAUCGCUUCAUCUAUAUUGCUUUCAGGAUUUUGGGUAACUAAAUUUAACAUUUGCACAUACAAAUGUUAAAGUACAAAUGUUAAAUCUAGUUACCCAAGCAGAAUAUGAAUAUACUCUAUAGUAUAUAUAUACUAUAUAAAUCUAGUUAACAUUUAGUCUAAAUGUUAAAUCUAGUUACCUAAAAUCCUGAAAGCAAAAUGUAUAAAUAUAUAUCUUUUAAGGCAGUAUAAGCUUCGAUUCCUAUUGCUGCUCUGUUAAAUCUCAUCUUUCGUUGUGGCCCAACACUCUAGUAUGUAUGUUGCACCAAGCUUCCUUGAGCCGCUCUGCCCUCUGAUUUUGCUGCGUAGGGGAAUCUUUAUCAGGUUGGGCUGCUUCCAGUCAUACGAUGUGUGGCUUCAUAUCUUCUACAAGUUAGACAGGAAACCCGCGUUCUGGAAGAUUCUGCAACGUGCACGUUGGCGCUGCCACCGUGGUUGCUUAAGCAAAUGCAUCCAACUGAAUCGUCCUUGUGCUAAAUAAUUGGAUAUCGUAUCCACUGCUUAAAGCUGCCAUGUUUAGUACAUCUUUGUUUUUCUCUCUUUAUAUUCCAAUAAGGUCGGUGAUCUUGAUGCCACACACUCAGAUGUGUGUUCAUCUUCGGAUACUACUCCAUGCUACCUGCCCUUUGUGUUUUGUUCAAUAACUGGGUAUCAUAUCCUAGUCAGUGUGCCAUCUGUUUUGUGUUUGUUUCCUUCUAGUUCCAAAGGGGUUAUCAUGAUGUUACCUUCUUUUGAGGUGUCUAUGACUUUGUUAAUAUCAAUAUUAACCAAUUCAAUCUAUCUUAACUAUUUGUAAGGGGUAUGAUGUAUGCAUGAUUAUAACAAUGAUUGCGCAUACAAUCACUGCCAAAGAAACGGUCAAUACCAUAAAGACAUAUUACAGACAAUUCUCAUAAUUUAUAAUGAAUAUACAUAUUCACUACUGCAGAGACUGUCAUUUGUAUCAGCUCAUACGUGCCAGGGCAAAGGUCACCCUUGCAUUAAAAGUACAUUUGCACGGUAAAGAUAACCAACACGAAUAAUGAAGUAAACAUGCCGGUGCUUUUGUACACCAACACGCUUACUUAAAUGUACUGGUGUCAUUCCUCACCGGUAGCCGGCUUGAAAAUUAACCAAUUAGAACAAUUAUUUAUUGUAUCGGUGUGAAUUUUGACCUAUUGGAAUAUGAAUUUGACCGUUACUGCAUUCGUCAAGACUCAAGAGAGAAAUAACUGAUCGGCUUCUUAGAGCGUGUGCAAUGUGAAAUCAAGGACUGGAUGGAAGUUGAAGCGCUAGCUUCAUCUUCCGCUGCAUGUUAAUUGCUUGGAUAAGAAGUUGUAGCCGCGUAUAUAAAUAGUCCCGCUGAUGCUGUGCUCCGAAGUCUAUACUAUAUAUGCGAAAACUAGAUUGCUUUCAGGAUUUUGGGUAACUAAAUUUAACAUUUGUACAUAAAAAUGUUAGUUUACGAAUGUUAAAUCUAGUUACCCAAGCAGAACAAGAAGAUAGUAUAUACUAUAUACUAUGUAAAUCAAGUUAACAUUUAGUCUAAAUGUUAUAUCUACUUACCCAAAAUCUUGAAAGCAAAGAAAGAAUAAGUAUAUAUCUUUUGUUGGAAAAUUGGUCCACGGAGAGUGGCCUCGUUCGUUUCACCGGGAUGGAAUUCCAGUCAGGAUUACUUCCAAGUCCGGUUUAAGUGAUUCCACCCAUGUCACUCAAUUCGGCUAGGAUUCAUUCCAGGGGUGAGGAGGUAUGGUUUCAAUCCGGGCCAUCUAAUGUAGAAGGAUUCCAAUCCAGGCCGGUUUUCGUUCUAGGCUAGACUAAAACGAACAACACUUUCAAUGCAAGUCUGGUUUCAAACCGGGCCACUUCAAACCACCCGGAAUGGACCUCAUUCCGGGCCAAUCCGGUGAUAACAAACGAGGCCUUAAUGGAAUCCCAAAGCAAGAGUUCAGUGGCAUUCUAUAGUCCCAUGCUGCUAGUUUGAGUUGGUCGAAGCCAACUUAAAUAGGAGAGCUCUCUCACUUCUCUAAAAAUGUAACUGAAGGAGAGAAGGGGGCUUGGGUUACACAACGCACGCACGCACGCAUAUUUGCAUUCUUUUCGCGUAACCGACCGCGUGACUUGAAACUUGCGACGUAGCGUGCUGCUAAGUCAAGUUGAUAUAACCUUUUUGCCGUUUGCGUGUAAUCUUUUGACAACGGUCAUUGGAGGUGAUAAGCACGCAGUCAAUACCUUAAUCCUGAGUUAAUAGGGCGGUUACUACUGCCAAUUAGUGCAGCAAUUUUGUAGGGGAAACGGUUAGCAGAGGGCUACCGUCUUCUCUAUAAGAAGUUUUGGAGACGUUCAGGAACACACAUGUACAUGUGAGAGACCCACGGAUUCCUUCCCUUCUCCCUUUUCCAUCUGGUGAAGUGUGCUAUGGUACUGAGCUGCUGGAUCUCGCCGGCUCUUCUCCUUGGCGUGCACCGAGGAGGAGGGUGAGCGGUAUCUCUGAGCUAUUGCCGUCAGGAAGCCUGCACGAGGGACAACAAUAAAGUUUUUAGGUAGCGCCUGCCUAAUCUUCGAUCUGCACUGCAACGUGUAACCCUGCAGCAACUCUACACGAGGACGGAGCACUAAUCUGUAAGUCCUAGAUUGGUUUCUUACAUAGUUGUAGGUUACACAAGAUCUAGAAUGGUUACAUACCAAUUAUUAUGGGUUACAUGAUGUUUUGUACGGUUUCGUCUAUUUUGCAUAUGCUAUUUUUUCUAUUUUGCAUAUGCUAUUUUUACAUACCGUUUACAUGCAUAUGUUAAUGGUUACACCUAGCUAUUUGAAUCUAGAAUUGGGUUACAUAGCAGUAGCAAUGAGUUACGUAAUAUGCCUCACGUUUAUAUCUGGUAGAAUUUAACACGUAUCUCCAACAUAUUUUGAGGCAGUAUAAAUUUCAAUUCCUUUUGCUGCUCUGUUAAAUCCCGUCUUUCGUUGUGGCCCAACACUCUAGUAUGCAUGUAGCACCAAGCUUGUUUGAGCCGCUUUGUGCUUUGAUUUUGCUGCGUAGGGGAAUCUGUAUCAGGUUGGACUGUUUCUUUGUCUUGCGAUGUAUAGCUUCAUAUCUUCUAGAGGUUAGACAGCAAAACCCGCAUUCUCUUAAGGCAACAACCCGAAGAAUCUGCAGCGCCUCUGAUAUAUCACUGCUGCAGAAACGAUCUUUAGUACUGAUCUCCAACCCUCUUUAGUAUCGGUUGGGCAACCAGUACCACUAUGUCGGUACUAAAGGGAGUUCUCUAGAAUCGGAUCAAAUAACCGGUACUAAAAGGGCUCCUUUACUACCGGUUGGUAACAACAAUAGGUAGUGACUUUUUUGCACCCAAAAAAUUAAAGAAUAACAGCCGGGAGGCUCGCACACACACGCAUCAUGAGUAAUAUGCGCGUGCAUGGUUUGUGGGAUUUCAACCCACGACCAAGCUAUAAGAACGUAGUUACAACAAAUCAAACACUUAGACAUUUUAGAGCAUCCCAAAUAACUACAAAUUCUAUAGUUUACCAUAUACCAUAAAAUAUUAGUUAAAAUAAGAGCAUACACAUGUCGGAAGAGUCCCAAUGCACCGGUUGAGGAUCAGACCAGGCACUUUGAAUGCACAUGCCAUAAGAUAAUUCUGCAGGACAAUGAUUGCAAUAAUGGACCAUCGAGAAGAUAGGGGCGAUGGGGUUGCCUCAUCAAUUAUCACUUGGCGCAACAAGACCAGCAAAGUCUUUAUCGACAGGGGUGGAUCAAGGGGUGGGGCAGGCAGAGCUCCAGUCCUCCUACCGCCGCUCGAACAAUGGAGCCCCCUUAGCCCCUCCAUAAAUUUUUAGGUAGAAGAAAAAAGAAGAGAAGGGAAGCAAGGGGAAGAAGAGGGAGCCCCUACUAAGUAGGUCGCCAUCGUGCUUCCCAACGCAUGAUCGCCGCACCGCAUCCAUUCCUCUACAAGCCUUCAGCGUCUCUCCCGCCGCUACCUCUGAACCAUGUGCAGCUAUAGACCCAACUAGUGUGUUGUCGCCCAUCUCAGUCCCAACAGAGCGGCGGCGGCUGCCAACACAAAUCUCCCUCCGCCUCUUCUUCACGGUCGAUGGCCGCCACAAGCAUAAACCUCGCCUUCGCAUCCAAGCAAAAGGGUCGUUGGGGUGCCUUCUUGCAUCACUUCUCAGCCUCCUUCACUUGCGGCCAGCGAAGAACUGCGCCACCACCUCGGGUGCGUGCCACCACUCCAGGGCCGCUACCCCAUGCCUGCGGCCGCCACCGGCCACCACGCGUGUGCAACCGCGUUGCACCGCUUCCCUGCUUUGUGCCACCACUACUGCUGUACCACCAGCUCCACCACCUUGGGAUGGUCGCCAGGGUGACUGAUUGGUGGAUUAUUACUAAAAAUAAGUUCCUUAUUAUCUGCAACUACUAUUAACUCAGAGAUACAUGCGUCUUUUCCUUCUCCUGCUAAUAGGUCCUAAAAUAUCUAGGAUGCUUUAUAUUUCUGGACAGAGGAAGUAUUUGAAUAAAAUGAACCAAUUUAAAAAAAAUGUGUUGUACACUACUACAGAAAGACCUAUCAGUGUCAAACCCAAAAAUGUCGUCACCGCCAGUUUUAGGCAUCGUUGGUGAAAGGUUGGCGGUGAUGGGCAUCCCCUUCAACAACGGCACUGGAGCCGACGGUGAUUGACAUUAGAAAACAAAAAAGGGAACCCCACCUAGCCACCCCUGCAACCCAGCCGGCCGUGCCUCCCCUCAUGCCCACCACCUCGCCUCCCCCGUGACCCCCCGCCGGCGCCCUUGUGCCUAGCCCCCUCGCCUGCCCGGCCGGCCACCCUCGUCAUGAGAGAGAGAGGUGCAUGUUGUAUAAUUGCGUGAAUUUUUGAAUGUUUAAUUUUAUGUAAGUUCCAUGUAAUAAAUUGUACAAGUUUUAUUGUAUAUAUGAAUUCCAUAUAUAUAUAUUUAUAAUUUAAUGUAUGGUUUCAUGUGUAUAUUUCAAUCAUGUGUAUAAUUAGUAGAUUGCCGAUUUUCUUUUUCUACUAGACAAGGGUUGAUGUAUAAUUACGUGUAUAUGUUUAUUGUAUGGGCAAUUAGGACAAGUUUUGUAUAAAUUUCUUUUAUUUCAUGGUUGUUGUAUGGUUUCAUGUAUAUACAUUUAUUGUACUACUUGAGACAAUUUUAAUUUAAUAUUUCUAUGAUUACAUGUGUGUAUAACUAAUUGUAUUAUUAGUUAAGAUGGGAGCCAAAGAGGAUGAAAGGUAUAUAAUAGAGUAGAUUAUUGCUGGCGGUAGUGGCUCAAACGUUGCAAGAACCUACACCGAGGGUGAGGGUAGCUAGGUGGACAUGUACCUCAACAUGUCCAGUGAUGGCAAUGACGAUGAGGAGCACGAGCAUGACGUCUAUGAUAAUGCGGAACAAGACAUUGCAGAAUUGGAAGGUUCUAAUGAGGUGUGCUUCAUGUUGACGAUCUAGUUGGCUUUUUUUCUUUGGUCACACCUUAGUUACCAUAGAACUUCGUCUCGGGAGAAGAUUGGUGGUGCUAUGGUGAUUGGAAUUUUAUUGCCUCCAAAUUUGAUUUCCAUCGAAUCAUAUCCCUUGUAUUUAUCUUCUUUUUAUUUGUGAGAGCAUCUUCUUUAUGCUUGCAAAACAAUUCAAGUGCACAUACUACCCCUAGGGUGAUGAUUGGGAGUAGAAACAAUUGCCAACAAAACAACACCACAUCCUAAGAUUCUUAACUUGUGGCAUAAUUAAUCUAGUGAAAAGAAAGAUAAAAACCUAAUGGGUGUACGUGAGUGCAAUGUGUAUAUGCAUAUGAGUGGAAGGCAUAUAAGCAAAGACAAUAUUUACACAUAGUUCUAAACACGAUGUUUACAGCUAGGUUGCUGAAUUUCUCCAUAGCUAUAGAGAUUAAUUAACCAAGGUCAAAACACGAUGUCUAUCCCAAGAUCAGUAAUUCUUUAUAGCACAAGAAAAAGAAAGCGCAUUGCAAAGUUUAUAAACCAACCAAUACAGCAUGAAAACAAGAUGAAUAGCUAGCAAGGUUUAUUAAAUUGAAUGAUGACGGUCUGCAAGCAAGUUUGAACACCAUCUUUACACAAGAUUGCAAAUGGAAAAUGCCCAUAUGAAGCACUAACAUGGAUAUGAAAUCAUUCAUCAUAAAGCGUAAAGAACAACCAAGUAGUUUUUAAUGGCAUAUACAUGUAUAAUAUAGUUUAGGUGCUAAAAUUGAUAUUCACAGCUAUUUUGGGCUCCAAUUCGCGUCCAAACCAACCUAGCCCACAGACCACACCCGGCCGGCCAGCUCAUCGGCCCAUCUAGUCACUGAUCCUUCCACCACCACACUCAGCCCAUCAGUCGGUCAGGUCCCGAGCUCCUGCCUGACCUAGUCCGCUACCGCCGCCAGGCGCCAAGCACAGCCGUACGCACUGCACCGCCCCCGUCCACCCAUGUCCGCUGCGCGGCAAAGCCGCGCCCCCCAGCCCCCGCGGUGAGAUCUCGACGCCCGCUGCCGCCAGACCCCAUUAGGCCUCCACCGGCAAGUCCACCCACAGUCCCACACGACCUAGUCCGCUNNNNNNNNNNNNNNNNNNNNNNNNNNNNNNNNNNNNNNNNNNNNNNNNNNNNNNNNNNNNNNNNNNNNNNNNNNNNNNNNNNNNNNNNNNNNNNNNNNNNNNNNNNNNNNNNNNNNNNNNNNNNNNNNNNNNNNNNNNNNNNNNNNNNNNNNNNNNNNNNNNNNNNNNNNNNNNNNNNNNNNNNNNNNNNNNNNNNNNNNNNNNNNNNNNNNNNNNNNNNNNNNNNNNNNNNNNNNNNNNNNNNNNNNNNNNNNNNNNNNNNNNNNNNNNNNNCCCCCCCUCCACCAGGACUGCUUGUUGGCCCCCACCGCGAGGUAAUCAAAAUGGACGGCUCAAUCACUCAAUCUGUUGACAUGAUGCACACGGUUGCAAAAAUAGAUGUGUCAAAAUAGAUAUAUUGCUAAUUGCUAUAGAUGCAUACGGUUGACAUGAAGAAGUUAAAAAUGACAUUUGGUUCCUUGUAGGCAGUCAAAAAUGAAGUCAAAAAAUAUUGAUCUGAAAUCAAUGUGGGAAAGGGCUACGAAGACACACAGAUUCCCUUGUGAACUUUUUAUGUCAUUCGUCUAAAUAUUUUUUUGCAAUGGGCAUACCCUACUCUGAAAUCCUGGGUCUGCCACUGAUGAUGAUGGUCUAAACAUAAAACAAGCCAAGAUUAAUUAGCCACAACUGAAAUUAAACAAAGGUUAAUGUCAUUGACCCUAGCUCUAUCCUAGCUUUUACAAAAGUCCCGGCACAUAUAGUGGUUGGGCCCACUCUCUCUGCUUCCCUCUCUGCUGCAUGCAUGCACACGAGCAACGGGAGGCCCCACAAAGCCCAGAAGGGUUCGGCUGAACCCGGCCGAUCCAAUCUGAGCACCACUCCCUCCCAGCCUUCGCGCAGAUGCUCCUCCAACAUUCCUUGACCCCUCCCUCAGCGUCCCAUUGGGUUUAACAUUGCAGGAGAGGAGUCCCUUUUUUAAAAUCUCAACCACCUCCUCUCCUCAUUCACUCCACUCUCAUCUCCAUCAAACUCACCAAGAUCCACAUCGGAAAUCCCUGCUUACCACCAUGGCUGGCAAAGCCCUCGUCCCUUUCACCAACUUGGGCUUAACCAUUGAUCUCGAUGGGGAAAUCACUCCGGAAAUAGGGCAGUGACCCAGAGCAAAGGUGAUGCCAGAGUGUAGAUAGCAGUUAGCAUGCCAAAUUGUGAACCGCAAGCGCUCGGAUUAGUUGUUUUUUUUCCCUUAGAGAUUCCCCCAAGGUUUAUCAAUCCAUGGAACAAGGGAUUUGCACAUUUCACUAAGCAUUAAUCAAUGUAAUUGAAAGCUUUUUGAAUAAGAUAUGAUUAUGCUAACAAAGGAACUAAGCAAUCUAGAUUAAGAUGGAUAGAGAGUAAAGGUUGUGAACAAGAUAGAUUAAACGCUUAUAGAUGCAAUCACCAUGCAUGAAUGAAUUAGAUCUAGGUGUUAUUGUGAGUGGUUGUGAACCAUACCCCAACACUUUCCCACCCGCAACAUUGUCACUACAUGUGGGUACUCAACUAUCGAAACAUAAGAACACAUCAAGAUGAUCAUUCUAGGUAAGCAAAUAAGCAACCCAAAGUAGCGCUGGCCAGCCUUUUCAUGAAAGAGCAUCAUCAAGAUAAGAUUGAUAACAAAAUAGAUCUCAACCAAAGGUUCAGCGAUUACAAAUCAAGAUCUCCGUAUAACCCCGAUGACAAAUAGAGGUAUUACCCCCAUGAUCUUACACAUGUUGAUGAAUUUUAGGGUAAAGGACGCCCUGUAGAUCAACUGGACCAAAGAUGAUGAUGAACAGGGGCAGGGAAGGCCCAGGCUGAUCAGCCUGGGCACUUUUGAGCCGAUCAGCUUAGGGAGUUUCCUCCUCCCCUGGUGCUCCUCUUCGCGUGGCCUCCUCUGGAUCCAAUCUUCUCUUCAUUUCUCCUACUUGUGGUGGCAAUGGAUGGUGUUUGCAUGGUGAUUUCCUCUUCUCCCCAACUCUCCCUCCUUGAAGUCCAUGAGGGGGUAUUAAUAGUCUCCAAUAUGCGGCAGCUCUGGGUCAAUGUCGGUGAAAAAACCCUAGAGAUCAUCGUACACUUCACGCUGAGGAAACAAGAGGUCGACCGAGCCCUGGGAUAGACCAAGAGGAUCAGCCUAGAGGGUCCCAGGCCAAUCGGUCUAGGCCCUUCCUAGCCCUUCUAGUCCUCUCCUUCCUCGUGCUGGCUUUUCUCGAUGACCCUUGUCCAAAUAUCCAUUAAGCUCUAUAUACAUACCCCCUUGAUUAUGUCGUAUUUCCUGUCAAAAUACAAUGCUCCAAAAUACAACACAUAUGCAAUAAUAGGGUUAUUUCAUGUGCCAAUUGGUGCGUUAGUAUACGAAUAAGCAUGAAAAUACUGGUUAAAUGACACUAAAAGUGUGUCAAUAACGAGCACCAACAAUCCCCCCACGCUUAGAUCUUGCUCGUCCUCGAGCAAGUCUAGCGACUAAAAGAUCUUGAAUUAAACAUGAGCAAGCGAGUCAAGUACCUAGCCUUGAAACAAAAGAUUAGAGGAGCAGCAAAGAUAAUCAAAGUCUGGGUGUUCAAAGAUUUAUCUAAGCAAAGAUUCCCCUACAACUAUUAUUCAGAACCAAGUAACUUCAAGAAUCAACUACACUUAUUUUCUGGCUUUUUUCAGAGGGUUUUUCUUUCAUCACAAAACAAUCUCCCUGCAACAAAAUUGAAAAAAGAAUUAUUUUCCAGGUGCUUACAUGUCGUUUAAAUGAAUGUUCGCUAUCCUACUUAUUUGCAAGCUCUCAUCUCUCAAAAUUCAUUCAAUUAUAUGGUGGAGCUUGGGUAAGGUUAGCUAGAAUCAACACGUAUAUUAUUGAAUUAAGAAAACCCUCUAACGGUAGCCUACCUUUCGAGCCAUUGAUCAUAAGAAUAUCCACAUAAUGUGAAGUUUUCAAGGAUGAGAAUAGAAUGGUGGACAUGUGCAAAGGAAAAGAAAUAUAGUGACUCUGAGGCACAAGCAAUGUCCUCGUCGUUGGAUUGCAUAUGGUUGGAAUGAAAAUCUGUUCCUUAAACAAGUCCAUCUUUUCUUUGCACCACUCUUGAUCUUCAUGACAGUAAAAACUCCUCCUUUAUUUCUUUCUCUCUUUUCCUAUUAUUUCUUUUUAUUUGUCUCAAUACUUUUCUUUCUUUAUUUCUUUAUUUUAAUCUCUUCUCCGAACCUCUUCUGAACACCACACAAUAAAAAUCAGUUUUAGAUCCUUCUAGAGACCUUCCAGGAAUUUGCUACAUGAAAACCGAGGCAAGGAGACCCCAGGCCGAUUGGCCUGGCCACUCCUUUGCUCUCCUCUAGCUCUUCUUUCUUGUGAAGCUUCCUUAUCUUGUAUCUUUCCAAAAAUUUCAUAAAGCUCAACUAGAAACGGAACACAUCUUCAUAUAAUGAGUUGUGUUCAAGGAAUUGGUAAUAAAAUUGAGAAAUUUGUGGUUCGGGUUUACGAAUUCAGUACAAAAAUAUGAUUAUUCCAAUGAAGAACUCUCAUUACUGAAUAUUGACGAGGCAAGCAUUCAAAGAUGGUAAAAAGGAUAUGAUCAAUUCUCAGAAUUAAAGCAAACCAAGAGAGAGCGAUCCUAAUUCAAUUCAAAGUGUCAAAUGUUGCUUAUGGUGGUAUGAAUAAAUAUUUUUAGGCAUUGGGUAGGAUAAAUAAAAACUCUCAACCUGGUUAAAAGAUAUUGAUCAAUCUUGUUUUUGCAGAGGUUUUAAAUAAAAAAUAAAAUUUUAAAUCACCUCCAAUUCAAAGCCUUACUCAUAAAUCAUAAUCAAAACUGAAGCACUUGAUCAUCAUAAAGCAUGGGUAUUGCAUAAACAAAUCGAUUACUAAAACUCCACAACUACGAUUUAGAAUUCAAGACAAUGCUCAUAAUCUAAAGUUGCAAAGACAAAAUAAAAGACAAGCAAGCCAAGGUAGACACUAAAAACACUUGCACGAUCCUUGAAUUUUAUUCAUGCUUCUUCUCACAAAGACGCUAAAGUAGCCAUGUAGGCCUAAGUCUUCCCAAAAGCUUAAGAAGACUACUACUUUAUCUACUUUUGGUUGAAAUAAAAAUACUAAUCUAGACUCUCACAUGAUUCGACUCGACCAAACUAGAUCCAAAAACUCAUACGAGCGACAAUCUCCCCCCCCCCUCUCAAAUCUACGACCUCCUCGUGGUAACCAUAUGGAGUACAAGGAAAAGACGCUUGUAAACGCACUAAUGACGCUACCCGGACUACUUGCACACGGAAUGGUUGUUGUUUCCUUUGCUUUGUUCUUCGUCAUGUUGCUGCACAUCCCGAAGAGCUUCCUCACGUUCCUCUGCAAGAACUUGAACUUGAACUUGUCCUCCUGACGGCAAUCAUUAUCUUCUGCCUUUUGAUCCAGAGCUUGUAAGGCUUGCAUGAUGUCAUCGAACGCAUCGAAGAGGUAGUGGAUGUUCUUCCUGCAAGCUGUGGAACAUGUACGAUCAUGCUCCUACGAUUCUGGCCCGUCGUCUUCUAGAUCCUCCUCUUUGCCCUUGUCUUGACGGUGGCCAUCUUGCUCCUUGCUCGUCUUCUUGCCUUCAGCCCGAUCCCAGUACGUGUUGUCAUCUUCUUCAUCGUCACGGCCUGCAGCACCCUAUGAUCCAUUGUCUAUCUUGUAUGAAAGAAUCAGAAGCUUGUUCUCCUCAGGGUGUCUUGCGCGGUGCAGCGUUUGCAAGUGCAAGGCUUGCUAGUUCUUUUUACACAUUGUAAUGUUCAUUGCAUGCUCUAAUUGUUCUACAUUUGUAAUUUCUUGGUGAAGUUUGGUUACUGAUCCACUGUUUGAUUAACUCUUGGGCCCAAACACUGUACUACUUCUGAUUAGAUAUCUGUAUCUUAACUUUGACCAAAAAAAAUAUCCGGCAGUUUUUGCCAUUAAAGUUUCAUAAAUCAUCUUGCAAAAAUCGUACUAUACAACAAGGGACGGUUUAUUAUAAAAUAUACGUUCCCCUUAUCACAUGCCACUUCCACUCAAAAGGCAACGAAUCAGUUUUCAAUCCUGAGUGAGCAAUUUGCUUUUAUUACCGAUGCCUCCUAUUCCCUUGUGCACCAAGUUCAUUUUGGAUAGGACUGCAAAAAGCGACUAACCAGCUCGGAUUCUCCACCUGCAAAACCGCAUCUGCAGCAACCAACCCCACGCGGUGGAAAAAAAAACAAAACCCAGAAACCGGACGGGGGUGGAUGUGGGGCUCGGAGCCCAAGCAAAAAAAAGGAUCGGGAGCGCCGGAGCAGGCCAUCACCGGAUGUUAGAGAUAGAAAAUGGUUGAAGUUGGAGUGGAAAUCAAACAAGCCUUGGAGCAAAGGAAAAAAAAGAUCAAACCACUCAAGCAUUCAUUUGAUUUAGAAAAGAGAACAUUUGUUAAGGUGGGGAGUUGAAAUCAUCUUUUAAUUAGUUCCACGUAUCUGGUAUCAUUACAGUUGGUUUACUUGUGUAAGUAUAUAAGUAGCUCUGCCGAAGCCUUUGCUCCUAUAAUUUAGUAACUAGUACAAAUGGAUCAUUAGGAAAAUCAAGUUGCAAUCAUUUCUCAGCCAACCAAACCUAUCUAAAUCAAAUUAUUGUCCAUGCCCGGCAUGCACAGGUGCCUGCCAUGCAUGCAUUGUUGCUCCAUUGUAAUAACCAUUAUUGUCCAUUGAUGUUCCAGCGCAUGUGUGCACUGUGCAGACACCAAGCAUCGAGAUUAUGUACUAGUAAGGUACCAAGAACACGUGAAGCACACGGGGGAGGCUGCUCCACUCGGCAUGCACAGGUGGGGCACGGCACCACUACUCGUCUCCUUCAGGCAGAGGACAAGUGAUGUACGCUGAUCAACCACUAGUAGAAAAACGACUUUCCAUCCGCCCCUUUUGUCCCGGUUUAAAGUUGGCCCGGGACAAAAGGUUCACCAACCGGGACUAAAACUCGGUCACUGGUGGGGGGCUCACCAACCGGGACCUUUUAUCCCGGUUGCAAAGGCUAGUGGGAAAAAAAGACUCUGAGAGGCCUUUUAUCCCGGUUUGAAACACCAACCGGAAUAAAAGGUGGUCUUUUAUCCCGGUUGGUGUUUCCAACCGGGAUAAAAGGGUCCCCCACGAGUUAAUACAAAAGGAUAGUAUCCCCUAUAUAGUCAGAUGUGGUGUGUAGGUGGGAUGGCAAGGAAGCUACGCGCGAGGCUGGAGGUUGUGGGUUUGAAUCCCACGAACCGCGCACCCCCACCACGGCAAACGGAGGUGAUGGCGGAAGGUGAGGCAACGACAGUAGCUGGUGAGCUCCCGCUCCAAUGUCUCGCGAGUGAAGGAGGAGGAGGUGGCAUGGGAAUCGAAGAGGAGGCCGCCGCUGGCGGGUUUAGACUACGUGGAUGUGUGGGUAGGGUUAAGGUGACGGUGUGGACUAGUAUAUAUAAGAUGUCUGGGCUUGUUAGAAUAAGAUAACAUUCUAACCGGCCAAAUUCGGACCCGGUUAGAUUAAAUUGAUAUUCUAACCGGUCCUAUUUCUAGGUGGUAAGAAUAAGUUAACAUUGUAAUUGGCUUUAUUUGGAACCCGAUUGAAUCUUCUUGUUAUUCAAAAAAACAUCAAGUUCAUCAAUUUUAAUCCAGAAAAACAUCAAGAUAAUUUAAGCACGAUAUAUAACAAGAUUAAUAAAUUUAAUAAUUGUUUGAUCCACAAAUUAACGAUAUUUAACAAAUUCAAAAAAUCCAAAUUAACAGAACACAAUAACCAAUUGUUCGAAAAAAUCAAAAUAAUCCACACACAUUAAUAUAUUACAAAUUCAGAAAUAUAUCAAAAUAAUCCCCGAUCCACUCGAUACCGUCAUAGGACUUUUAAAUACUGAGCUUCUUGAUUCGUCUGAGGUCCACGUACUCGUCUCAGUAACACUAGUGAUGGCCAUGCAUCUUGUAGAUGUCUUCUAACGAAUCAAGCUUGACGUACAAGGUCAUGCCUUCCGCUCCUUGAGGAUAACCAUCUUUGGUGAUCUUGAAAUGGCAGACGGUGGAUGUGCCAAAGGUACGUAACGAUCCUUCUAAAUGUAUGCCACCACAACUUCCGUCUGAUCGCCAUGGGUGACACCAAGAAGAGCUACCAUGCGGCAAGGGACGAACAAUUUAUCAAUUAGUGCCGCUGUCCAUUCGCCAUCAUCUAAUCCAGCCAUAUCUUGAUGUAUAUUUAAGUAUAGAAAUUAAGAUUUAAAAAUAAACAGAAUAAAUUGAGAUCGACUAUGUAUGUAUAUCAGAACAUUAGCUUUUGGAAAAAGGGCUUCGAUGGAAGAGAGGCACGGGGCAUAGAGACAACAACGAGUGACAAUAUGUCAGAAGAAUACCCGAUCACAAUUAUUGGCUACAGGACGGGCACACACAGCCGAUAUUUACAGUAGUCAAUACCCCUGGUAAAUAACCACACCAUCAAGAGUAAAUAGUGACAAUAUGCAGUAUAUACACGACAUAGCCUUGGUUGCCGUGGAAGCGCCAGAAGGGAGACAAAUAACAGGGACCACAACAUCAAGUAGAUAGUGACAAUAUGCAGAAGAAUACCCGCGCCUGUUAGCAUGUGUGAACUGACCACACCACGAAACGUGAUACACGGCAAGCGUACCAAGGCCUUGCUGUGCAGACUAUGCAUGGACAACACAUGGUACCUGACCGCUUUUGGCCUCAGACACAUCGAAAAACUGCAUCGUUCCACGUUGUACAUCCAUUGCUAGUUUAUCUAUAUUACAUAAUAUAUUAUUAGCUAUUUGAAUAGAAUGAACCAAUUAAAAAAUUGCGUUGUAUUUUAGUACCGGCUGCAGGAUGGUGUUACCAACCAGUACUAAUUGGCCUGUAGGAGUGAUGGUUAUUAGACUUGGUACUGUUGUUAGCAUCAUUAACCUAAUUGUGCGCGGUAUGAAUUUGGGGAUGCAAAGCUAGCUCUCUAUGAAUGUGAGGGAUGGAAAGCUAGUUCUCUAGUAGUAAUUAGCUAUAUAUAUAUGUCAGUCAAGAAAUCGAACACUAUGCUGCUACGAGUCACCAUCAUUUCCUUCAUUGACAAUCUGACAUAGGUGAAGCUGCUUCAAGAAUUUCCUUCGCGCAGUCGUGGAGCUUAUUGGAUUAUCACCAGGACGGGACACGGAAAUGGCCAGCAAUGAAGCUGAUUGCCGUCUGAGGAAGAUUACAUACUUACCUAUGAAAUGAAGCGAUUGCAUAGACUAAUGAAGCAUUGCAUAUUUGCAUGUGAGUGUGGCAGAUAAUUCUGCAGGACAUGAUUGCAAUCCACGCACCAUCGAGAAGACUGGGGCGAUGGGGUUGCCUCAUCAAUAAUCACGUGGAUGCAUGCAUGCAUGUUCCCGCAACCGGACAAGGGUCUGAUAUAUGGCUAUAGUAUUACUGAGCCCACAUCAAUAAUUUCCGCUGGUGUAUCGUGUGGGAAGAAUCAACAUACUACACCUCGAGUUCUUGGAACUAACUGACGUUCACAUGCAACCUCCACAAGGUGCUGUAUAUAUGCUUUUGACAUUCACCUGCCAGUUCGUGUAGAGGACACCCUAACGUAUGGUUAAUAUUAUCCAUUUCAUGAGUAAAAUACUGUGAUUCAAAAAUACUUCAAAUCCCUUGAGACAAUACUUCUCACUUGACUAACCACUAACCAACCCCGAAACCCUAACUCAACUCCGAACCCUAACACCUAACGGCAUAACCACUCCGUUUUGCCAGCCAGAUGGAGGAACUGGCUGGGAGGGAGAGAGGGCAGCGGUCCAGGGUUGAAAACGACGGGCGAGCGCAGUAACAUGUGGAGGAGGAAGUGCCACGUAUUCGUUCACCGCUAUUGGGCAGCGACACACAACACGCCCAAUAAGAUUUUCGCACGGUAGAAGGGCGCCAUGUAUUCAAUAAUGUUAUUGGUCCUCCAUGUGCAGAAGGGCGCGUAUGGAAUAACAAGUAGGGACACUGCAACUAAUCUACUCUGCUCGUCCAGUCCCUAGCCUAUAAAUAGAUGCCAUGCUAGCUCUUGUUGUGCUCACAGUUAAUCCGAUUACACACGAGCUUCUCUCCCUGGCCAAGACACAAUCAUAGUAUGAUGAAGAACAUGGCACUAGCCGGCAAUGGUAUGAAGAAGUUAAUCCUCGCUGUUCUCUUACUGUGUCUAGUUAUAGGGCAGAUACAAGUGGAAGCUAAGAGCUGCUGCCCAUCCACCACUGCAAGAAAUGUCUACAAUACCUGCCGUUUGACGGGUGCAUCCCGUCCAACGUGUGCAAAACUGUCAGGCUGCCAAAUUAUCAGCGGGAACAAAUGCAAGCCCCCUAACGACCACCUCACCCUUGACCCGGACACUGGUAAAUAAUAAAUUUAUCUCACUUGAUUUCUUUGUGUUUUGAGUCGUUAAUGUAUUUUCCAUCUGAUGAAACGCAUUGGUUUUGCAUUGAAGAGGAAGUUAAUGUGCUUAACUUCUGCAAGUUGGGGUGUGCGUCGUCUGUGUGCAACAACAUCAACGCUGGUAAGCACCUUUUGCUCAGACAGAGAAAACAAUAAUCAUUAAUUAGCGGCAGCUAGAAUCCUAUAAUCUAAUAUAUAUAUAUAAUUUUAUCAGCUCUGGGAAAUGAAGAGGCGAACGAUGCCGUUGAGAGUUGCGACCAAGCCUGCUCUAGCUUCUGCAGCGUGCAUGUUGGCAGCGCCACCGUGGUUGCUUAAGCAAAUGCAUCCAACUAGAUCGUCCUUGUGCUGAAUAAUUGGAUAUCGUAUCCACUUAAAGCUGCCUUGUGUAGUACGUCUUUGUGUCUCUCUUUAUAUUCCAAUAAGGUCGGUGAUCUUGAUGCCACACACUCAGAUGUGUGUUCAUCUCCAGAUACUACUCCAUGCUACCUGCCCUUUGUGUUUUGUUCAAUAACUGGGUAUCAUAUCCCAACCAGUAUGCCGUCUGUUUUGUGUUUGUUUCCUUCUAGUUCCAAAAGGGUCAUCAUGAUGUUACCUUCUUUCAAUAUGGUGCUUUGCAUGACUACUGUUGUAUGGUACCAUCUUGUGGCCAAUAAGUACAUCUUAUCCUAUGACCCUUUGCUAUGACCCUUUGCAAAUAAGUAGAAGAUUGUUAUAAGCGUCAAUACUCAGUAUAAUUGAUCGCUGCUGUGAGUUCCCUUUCAGCUUAUCGUAGGCAUACAUUAUUGCUAGCACGGUAAAGCCAACCAACACGAAUGAUGAAGUAAACGUAGCGGUACUUCUGUAUACCAACACCCUUACUUAAAUGUACCGGUGUCAUUCCCUACUGGCACAUAUAUUCUUAUAUGCUAGCCAGCUUGUAAAAUUAACCAAUUAAAAUAAUUAUUUCAAGAUAGAAAUAACUUAUCGGCUUCUGGAAGCAUGUGUAAUGUGAAUUCAAGGACUCGACGGAAGUUGAAUCACUUCAUCUAUAUUGCUUUCAGGAUUUUGGGUAACUAAAUUUAACAUUUGCACAUACAAAUGUUAAAGUACAAAUGUUAAAUCUAGUUACCCAAGCAGAAUAUGAAGAUAGUUUAUAGUAUAUAUAUACUAUAAAUAUACUAUAUAAAUCUAGUUAACAUUUAGUCUAAAUGUUAAAUCUAGUUACCUAAAAUCCUGAAAGCAAAAUGUAUAAAUAUAUAUCUUUUAAGGCAGUAUAAGCUUCGAUUCCUAUUGCUGCUCUGUUAAAUCUCAUCUUUCGUUGUGGCCCAACACUCUAGUAUGCAUGUUGCACCAAGCUUCUUUGAGCCGCUCUGCCCUCUGAUUUUGCUGUGUAGGGGAAUCUUUAUCAGGUUGGGCUACUUCCAGUUGUGCGAUGUAAAGAUUCGUAUUUUCUAGAAGGUAGACAAAAAACUCGCGUUCUCUUAAGGCAACAACCGGAAGAUUCUGCAGCGCAUAGGGCAUACCAUUAUUGUAGAAACGACCUUUAGUACCGAUCUCCAACCCCCUUUAAAACUGGUUUUGCAACCGGUACCGUUAUGUCGGUCCUUUAGUACCAGAUCAAAUAACCGGUACUAAAAGAGUCAACUAAAAGGACUCUUUUAGUACCGGUUGGUAACCAGUAUCAACUUGUUUUGUGGCCAAAAAAAUAAAGAAAAAAACAGUCAGAAGGCUCGCACACACGCGCAUCACAUGAAAUAUGCGUGUGCGGGGUCCAUGGGAUUCGAACCCAUGAAAUCAAGCUACGCGCGACCCUUCGUUACCAUCUCACCUGAAGUAACCCGUGGAGGAGGCUUUAGUACCGGGUCAUAACACCACCCGGUACUAAAAGUGACUCUUCAGUACCGGGUCAUAACACCACCCGGUACUAGUAUCGGAUGGUGUAAUGACCCGAUACUAAAAGGCCUCUAGGGACCCUCAAAUUUGAACCCGGUACUAAUGCUAAUAUUAGUACCGGGUCAAAGUGCAGCCAGAACUAAAGCAUGGGAUGAAAGGUCAUAUUUCUAGUAGUGUAUAGUUGUUGUGAAGGACUUACUUGGCUGUCCUCUCUCUUCUCCAUCCCCUUGGUCUUACGCCGCCGCUCGCACGCGAGCUGGUGCCCAACCAGAGGAGUGAGAGCUAGGGGCAGGUUGGGAGGUGGGGAUAGCGACUGGUGGCCAGGGUGAUGGUUGAUCCUGGCGGGGUUAGGGUUUUAGGGUUUUCGAGCUUCCUAUGGUCGGCGAACCUAGAGGAGGAGCUCAACAUCAGCUGCAACCCGCGAUGGUGGUGGUUUGGCCAGCGCCCGAGGCGAGGCAGCGCGGGAGUGCUGCCGGUGGGUUGGUGUUGGCACUCAUUAUUGACAACUAUUUUGUUCAUAAAAUAACACUCAAACUUGCUGCUGCUGCCGCCGCCAUCGCCACCCUAGCCAUAAUAUAAAGGCAAAAUUUGCUAAAGGACAUGCAAAAUGAUGCUAGUUUGCUGGCGGGCAUCGUUGACCUUGUAAUAUGCUACAAGACACUCUAGUUGUGUAUCAAUUUGCUGAAAGACAUUGCUAUGACUAAAAUAAUGUUUCUGGACUGAGUUGGAGAGAGAGAUGGAGUGAAAUGUCUGUUUUGCCCAUGACCCCACUGGUCAGAUCCUUCUUCUUCCACCCUCCUUUGUUCUUUCUUCAACCAUUACCCAGCUCCAGCGUGUUGCAGAUCUACGAGGGUGGCGGCCUGGGGCGAGGGGCAUUGCUCGCCCUCGGAGGAGCGCUGCGAGCGACGGCGCGGGGGCGGCAACCGCGCGUCAGAACCUGACUGUUCGUUAGCUCCUCUCGCUGCUGGGGAAGAAGGAGGGGGAUGGGCCAUGGACGGGGUUCCCUUGAAAACCUCAGCGUCGAGCUCGGGCGGCUACGCGCAGGCAGCACUAGGCUGCUUCACGGGGAGGGGGCGCGGCCAAUCAUUGGCACCCCACUGGUCCAAUGCUGAUGAAGAUGGUGCCAGCGUCGUGUGAGGACAUCUCAUCUCCUCGAGUUCCAUGGCCAGCACAGGUGAGCUGCCGCUACCACAAAACAGAGAUUUCGUGAGAGUCAAAAAACCUUAUGAAAAUAGCUAAAACCAUCAUGAAAAUAAUCCGUGACAUGACACUCUCACGAAAAUCCUCUCACAAAUAUGGUGCCAUGAAAAUACCAUUUUCAUGAGAGUGAACUGUCAUGAUUUUAUUUCGUGAGAGUAUUUCCUAUCAAUGACCUCCACGAAAUACUUUGUGCCACCAGGUCUUCAAGAUCAUUUUCAUGAGAGCUGAACAUCAGGAAAAGUCCGCCACAAAUGUUUUUCUUGGAGCCUCUAACUCUCAUGAAAAUCAUGCGGGCCGCCACGAAAAACAGCAUGACCAAAUGACAAAUUUUAUUUUCAUGUGUUCAUACCGUGAAAAUGGUCAUUUUCAUGAGAGUUGAUGAAACAAAAAAUAGUGCCAUUUUCAUGAGAGUUCAAGCAACCAGGAAAAGACACUAAUAAACAUCCAGAUCCCAUCCAGCACACAUCCAUGCACACAUAUAACCCACAUAUUGCUCCAGCACACAUCCAUGCAUAUACAAGAUCCAAAUGUUAAUAUAGUAGACAUCCAUGCCUGAACUAGUCUGCCACACAAGUCAUUGAUGCUACAAAUCCUACAAUCGCAGCAUGUGCAUACAAGUCACAGAAUGAGACAAUGUACCCAAAACUAAAAGGUUAGCAUCAACUGUGCUUCAACCAAAGUUGUCAUCCCAACUCUCCUCUUCAUCCAUGCCAUUCUUGUCAUGGCCGUCACUGUCAGUCCCCAUGGCAUUGCCAAUGCUGUGCAUGUCUUGGUAGGAACCUACAUGUGAUGAACCAGUAACCUGCAAAAAGAACUCAAAGGAUCUUGUUCUCAUAUUGUUCUCAUAUUGUAGCUGUGAAAUUCUUACAAGUAGUGUUGCAAUCAGUUCACUUUGAACCAAAAGAGCUCAAAGGAUCUUGUCCUAAAAGUUCCUCAUAAAGCUUAUGGGUUUGCUGGUGGAACUGGAAGGGCUUGAUGCAGCAGAUGCCAUUCUGCAAUAGAGAAAAAUUUAGAGAGCAGUAAUAGUUAAAAUUGGAUGCAGCAGAUACACAUGAAACUAGUAUUUAUACAAGUCUAUACAAUUAAAAUCUAAGGAGACUUAUCAUCGUUUUCAUGUGUUGCGAAUUAAAAUAAUGAAGGAUACACUGUUAGGUGAAAAUUCAAGAAACAAAAUUUUGCAUAGAGAUAAAGGUCCAACAUUAUUACAAGUUAAGGUAGUUUUAAAUAUCCUUGUAAUCUUCCUUUGGUUUCCUCAACGAUUCGAAGACAAUAACCUUGCUUCUAUCAAUGAUAAUUAUAAGGAGAAUCCAGUGGAAACUGUGUAUUCAUAUUAGAACUACCUAAGGUUAAUUAGGUUAGGAAAGGAAAUCGAAAAUAGAUGGUACCCACACUUACUUAAAGUUGUCGGGCAAUAGUAUGUAAUGCUUGUAAUUCCGUUGCUCCAAGAAUUUGUAUAUGUGGUCCAAUGUAGACUUUGGUUGAUCCCGUAUCUGCUGUUGGUUAAAUAAGUGUUUCUAGCCAUUUCUAGCCAUUAGAACUGGGACUAAAGGGGGCUCUUUAGUACGGGUUGAUAUUACUAACCGGGAUUAAAGAGCCCCCAUUAGAGUUGGUUUUUGGAUGCGGAACUAACAACUCCUUUAGUCCUGAGUACGAAAACGACUGAGAUAUUUGUUGCUUGGUUGAAGGUCCUUUCUCUACCGUGAAUAUUGCCAGAAAGAAUUGAAAGAGACUGCUUGCUAAAAAUAUGUCAUAGAUGUAGACCAAGCUACCAAGGAGGUAGCACUAGUAGAGAAUUGACUUUCGAGCCGCCCCCUUUUAUCCCGGUUUAAAGUUGGCCCAGGACAAAAGGGGGUGCGCCGGGGUGCGGAAAUUUGGAGGGGAGCAUUACUCCCGGUUGGUAAUUGCAACCGGGACUAAAGGCCCCCCUUUAGUCCCGGUUGCAACGGCUAGCUGGGGGGCAUCGGUGGCCGGACCCUUUUAUCCCGGUUGGAUCCUCCAACCGGGAUAAAAGGGACUCCCUUUUAUCCCGUUGGAGGAACCAACUGCGAUAAAAAGUUUAGUCCCGGUUGGUGCCUCCAACCGGGAUAAAAGGGUGUCCCUUUUAUCCCGGUUGGAGGAUCCAACCGGGACUAAACUUCCAACCGGGACAAAAGGUGUUUCCUUUUGUCUCGGUUGGAGUUUUUAACCGGGAUAAAAACUCAUCCCCCACUAUGUCCCGAGACAUAGACUUUCUUCUUCCUCCAGCCCGAGCCAGUCCAGCACAUUGAUAGAGAGCUGAGCUUCACCUACUCUCCGGUGGUGCCAAAGCAAGGGAGGUGCUGCCCGAAGUUUUUUCCCUCAUUUUCGUGGGAAUUUGACUCAGCCAACACAAGUGUUGCGAAGGUUUGCUACUUCAUCCUCGUGUUAUGCUUUGAUUUAUGCUUUGGAGAUGGAAAGAUUAUUUGCUACAAUGUGAUGAUGAAGUAGAAAAAUGGAGAGGUAUUUUGAGCUAGAAUGUGAGGGAGAUUGAUGUGUCAUAUAUAGUAUGCAUUAUUUCAGUGGUUUAAAAAUGAUGCUACCUUGUCUAGACGGUUUAUCUUAUCAAAUUCAAUAUGGUUUUUUAAAUCCAUAUACUUGUUGAACUUGCAUACCGUGUUCAUUUCGGCGAGAAUGUUCUCCGCCGAGCAGCAACGUAUGUCAAGAAGGAGGUUCGAUUCUACGAGAAAGAGUGGAUACGGACAUCGUGACCAUGUCCCCUUUUCCGUAGCAUCUAACCUCUUUCAUGACGAAGUGCGGUGCCACCCAGCUGAGGACAUCCUCGCGAAAUGAACACGGUCUUCAAGUUCAACAACUUCUGUAGUGGUAAGGAAAGAAUUUUUGUACAUAGAUGACUUCUGCUACUUGUUGAACUUGCAUACCGUGUUCAUCUCUCCGAGGAUGUUUUCCGCCGAGCAGCAACGUAUGUCAAGAAGGAGGUUUGAUUCUACGAGAAAGAGUGGAUACGGACAUCGUGACCGUGUCCCUUUUUCCGUAGCAUCUAACCUCUUUCAUGACGAAUACCGGUCCCGCCUAGUUGAGGACAUCCUCGCGAGAUGAUCACGGUCUUGAAGUUGAACAACUUAUGCAGUGUUAAGAUGAUCACGAUCUUUAAUCGAUUUUCACGCGUAAUCCAUUAUCAAGUGUAAUCCAUUUUCAUGCGUAAUACGAUGCAGAUGGACUAGCAAUGGAUGUAUAAUGCAGACAGGCGGAGCAAGGCGUUUAUUGAUGGCUUGCAUUAUUUUCUCGAAGUGGCAAAAGCGAACAAGCCAGAGAAUGGGUUCGUAUGUUGUCCAUGCUUCCAAUGCAAUAACAGGAAGGAGUAUUCAAACGAUUCCUGGGGGACUAUUCACAGCCACUUGUUUAAAUACGGUUUCAUGCCUAACUAUUUGGUUUGGACCAAGCACGGUAAACUAGGGGUUGUAAUGGAAGAUGGCGAGGAGGAGGAGGAAGAUGACACCAUUCCGGACUGGGUUGCAGGCCAAGCUUUUGCAGGUACUACAAUGGGCGAGGCUGAUGAAGAUGAGUUUGCAGAAAAUGACCCUACUGAUGACCUUGGUCAGGUGAUACAAGAUGCAUACAGAGAUUGCGAAACUGAGAAGGAAGCAGCAAAGUUGCAGCGCAUGAUAGAUGAUCACCAAAAAUUGUUGUACCGAGGUUGCCAGCAGGACCAUAAAAAACUAGGUACGACACUAGAAUUUGUGCAAUGGAAGGCAAAAAAUGGUGUGUCCGAUAAGGCAUUUCAGGGGAUGUUGAACAUUGUCAAGAAGAUUCUCCCCGAGAAUAAUGAAUUACCGUCCACAACAUAUGAAGCUAAACAGAUUAUUUGUCCUCUUGGAUUGGAUGUUCAGAAGAUACACGCAUGCCCUAAUGACUGUAUCCUCUAUCGUGGUGAUGAAUACGAGAAAUUGGAUGCUUGUCCCGUCUGCGAAGCCCUGCGGUAUAAGAUCAGGCGAGAUGAUCCUGGUGAUGUCGAGGGGCAGUCUCCCAAGAAGAGAGUUCCCGCGAAGGUGAUGUGGUAUUUCCCUAUAAUACCACGCUUGAAGCGCUUGUUCAGGAACAAGGCGAAUGCUAAGUUGAUGCGAUGGCACAAAGAAGACCGUAAGGAAGAUGAGAUGCUGAGACACCCCGCAGAUGGGGCACAGUGGAGAUCAAUUGAUAGAAAAUUCCCAGACUUUGAAAGUGAAGCAAGGAACAUAAGGUUUGGUUUAAGCACUGAUGGAUUCAAUUCAUUGGGUGAGUUGAGUAGUGGUCAUAGUACUUGGCCUGUGACCCUUUGUAUGUUCAACCUUCCUCCUUGGCUGUGCAUGAAGCGGAAGUUCAUUAUGAUGCCGGCGCUAAUCCAAGGCCCAAAACAACCCGGCAACGACAUUGACGUGUACCUAAGGCCGUUGGUUGAUAACCUUUUACAGCUCUGGAAGGAAGAAGGUGUACGUGUGUGGGAUGAGGAUAGACAAGAGAUCUUUAAUCUACGAGCACUGUUGUUCGUAACCAUCAACGAUUGGCCUGCAUUGAGUAACCUUUCAGGACAGACAAAUAAGGGAUAUCGGGCAUGCACCCACUGUUUAGACGACACAGACAGCAUGUACUUGAAGCACUGUAAGAAGGUCGUCUAUAUGGGUCAUCGUCGAUUUCUCCCUGCUCACCACCAGCUGAGAAAGAGCGGGAUGCAUUUCAAAGGGGCGCCAGACCAUCGUAAAAAACCUGCACACCGUAAUGGAAAGCGUGUGUUUGAGAUGAUGAAGGAUGUAUAUGUAGUCUUCGGAAAGGGACUUGGUAGCCAACCUGUUCCGAACGACGAUAACGGACAUGCACCCAUGUGGAAGAAAAAGUCAAUAUUUUGGGAGCUACCUUAUUGGGAAAUCCUAGAGGUUCGCAACGCAAUAGACGUGAUGCACCUGACGAAGAAUCUUUGCGUGAACGUGCUAGGCUUCAUGGGUGUUUAUGGAACCUCAAAAGAUACAUUGGAAGCACGACAGGACCUGAAAGCCAUGGGGCAACGAGAUGACCUACAUCCGGAAAAGAGAGAUAAUGGACAGCACUACUUACGUCCUGCCAGUUACACUCUCAGCAAGGAAGAGAAGGAUAGCAUGUUUGAAUGCUUGAAUAGUAUGAAGGUCCCGUCUGGGUACUCCUCGAAUAUAAAGGGAAUAAUAAAUAUGAAACAAAAGAAGUUUACAAAUCUCAAGGCUCAUGACUGCCACAUGUUGAUGACCCAGUUGCUUCCGGUUGCACUGAGGGGUGUUCUACCAGAAAAUGUCCGGUUGCCGCUCGUAAAGCUAUGCGCGUUUCUCAAUGCGAUUUCGCAGAAGGCAAUCGAUCCAUCCAAGCUAUCAAAGCUACAGAACGAUGUGGUGCAAUGUCUUGUCAGUUUUGAGUUGUUAUUUCCACCAUCCUUCUUCAAUAUUAUGACGCACUUACUGGUUCACCUAGUAAAAGAGAUUGGUAUUCUCGGACCUGUAUACCUGCACAAUAUGUGGCCUUUCGAGAGGUGCAUGGCAGUCCUAAAAAACUAUGUUCUUAAUCGUGCCCGUCCAGAAGGAAGCAUCGCCAGGGGAUAUGGAACAGAGGAGGUGAUCGAGUUUUGUGUUGAUUUUAUUGAUUCAAUUGACUCGAUUGGGGUUCCAACUUCACGCCACGAGGGGAGGCUCCGAGGAAUGGGCACCAUUGGAAGGAAAUCAAGUUUGAGCAAUGAUACUGAUUUGUUCGACAAGGCACACUACACUGUUCUACAACAGUCAUCCUUUGUGUCUCCGUAUAUCGAGCAGCACAGGCAGAUGGUAGCUUCCAAAAACCCGACCAAAUCCGAUGCUUGGCUUACCCGUCAUCACAUGGAAACUUUUCCCUCCUGGUUGCGCCAACAACUUAUGGGUAACUCUGAGAUUCACCCACAGCUUGCCUGGUUAGCCAGGGGACCUACUACCACAAUCGUCGAAUUCCAAGGCUAUGAGAUAAAUGGUUACACAUUUUACACGAGAGCCAAGGACCAGAAAAGCACGAACCAGAAUAGUGGUGUCCGCAUAGAUGCCAUGGACAGAAAUAAUAGCAAGGAGUCGUAUUAUGGUUUCAUACAGGAGAUAUGGGAACUCGAAUACGGACCGCUGUACAUCCCUCUAUUUCUUUGCAAUUGGGUGAAGCUAACUGCCGUCACCAAAGAUCAGUACGGAAUGACAAUAGUAGAUCUGAGCAAGACUGGAUACAGUGAUGACCCAUUCGUACUUGCCAAUGAUGUGCAUCAGGUGUUCUAUGUGAAGGACAUGUGCAGCAAACCCAAGAGGAAUCCAGAAGAGACAUGGGAGCCAAAGUGCCACAUAGUUCUUCCAGGUAAAAGAAAAAUCGUGGGAGUCGAGGAUAAAACAGACCAAUCAGAUGAUUAUGAUCAGUUUGAUGGCAUGCCUCCAUUCGCCGUUGAAGUUGAUCCAAGCAUCCUGCUAUCCAAAGAAGAGGCUCCGUACUUACGCCGCGAUCAUGAUCAAGGAACUUUCGUGAAGAAGAAAUUUUACAACGUUGUAUUGUAAUGCGUUAAAUGUACAUGACCUUUGUGUAUUAAUUGAUACAAUUUGUAAUGUACCCUAUGUAUGAUUUCAUGUGUUAUUAAAUUUGUUAGGUGAAGAUUUUUUAGAUAAACAUGAACAUUGUUAACCACAUACUAACAUGGAUUUUUCUGCUGUUGACGUCGGAUUUCGUCAUCAGUAGAAUCGGCGCCAAAGAGGAAAGAAAUCGAAGGAGGACGGAUGGAAAUCGGCCAAAAGGUGUUACAGUGCGGAAUCGGUCAAGUGGCUUUUACUUCGCUUCAGAGUGAAUACGCCGGGUUCCCAAUCGGCAAUCCUUUGCUGAUAAGAAAUCGGCCGAUCAGGAAGGUGGACUAAGGUGGGCCUGUAUGGGCUUGGAAAGAUGGAAGGAUAAGGUGGAGUUCAGCCCAUGAAGCGUGGGGUAAUUAGUUUAGCUCGGAUUGUGCUUGUAGAUAUUUGUUUUCUGUUUAAAUUAGAGAUAGAGUCCUAGUCGGUUAAGAAGAUUAUUUGUACGGGGCUAUAAAUAGCUACCUUUGUAAAUCUGUAAAAAAAAAACAAUCAAUCAAUACAACAAGUUACUUUAUUCUUCGUACUUACUUUCGAGCAGGCGACUUCGCCAUCACUUUUCCUUCUCACGAGUUCGUGCGGGUUGGCAGGGCUGCAUCAUCUUGAUCUCCGGCCGAUUCUGUAAGUUCCGUUUAUCGAGUAAUAUCUAAGCUUUAACUUCCGGCGCAUCGCUGUUGUUUCGUUUAGAUUUUAUUCAUCAGUUAUCGAUAUCGACUAGAUUCAUAGGUUUUUACCUGUUCUCCUAGUUUUUAUCACCAGUUACCCCGCUAGGAAUCGGUAGUAUCGGCUUUCAUUACUUUCUGUUACCAAAUCCAUCUGUUGCCGAUUAGAUCUUUUCCUGGUGCUGUUACUACGUGCCUUGUACCGAUUACUUUAAUAUUUUUCUAUCUACAAGGCUACGGGGGUCGUGCUGUCUUGUAGCCGAUUUCUUUACCACAGUAAAUCGGCCGAUCUGCCGAUAAGCUCUCUCGAUCGGAAACUUAGCCGAUCGUAGUUACUGAUUUUGACACGUGUUCUUCCUUGCCAAUCAACAGGUCAGAUUGGCUGGCACGCCGCGCGAACCGCACCAGGGCAUUCACCCGAACAGGAGCUAAGCAGAUUCUCCCGGGUCGUGUGUCGGCCGCUGGGAUUCGGUUGACCGAUUUCUAGCGCCAACACACUUUUGGCACGCCCGGUGGGACCAUUACAACCGCUGUCUUGUCGAAAGCUGCUGAAGUCUCCGAAGAUAACGUCAUCGAAGUGACGGAGGCAGAUCUAAAGGACGACCAAAAAGAAGAUCUAAAUCAGUAUUUGGAGCAAGUCCGGAAAACUUGCUUGAAAUCCUUCAGUCGUUCCAGGAGCGGGGAAACUGUUAAAAAGUCUCCUUUCCCUACUCCCCGCCAGAUCACGAUUUCAGAAGAUUCGGACAAAAUGUCCGAUAUGAUUCAGCAAUCUCUUCAUCACGCCUUCAUCAACCAAUCCCCGGUACUUUCAAACAUGGUGCACAAUGCUGUUGUCAACUCUUUCGCCGGAGGUAUACCACAGGGGUACAGGGGGCCUACGUAUUUUCAGCCGAUUCCACCAAAUCAGGCUUAUCAGGCUUCACAGCCGAUCCAAUCCUCUGUCGGAGGAUCUGGUGCUUCUACGUCAUCAACUCCUUUGGGAUACGGCUCCACUGCACCACUCCCUCCAGUCAUUCCUUUACCCUGGGGGGCACCCUUAAACACGACCGGUUUGAAUCAAUCGGUCAGCCAAGGAAAUCCUCCGUUCCAGACACCCUCCCAAACGGCCACUCGGCCGAUCAUACCACCAUACCAGCCUAUCGCUCCGGAGGUCAACAAGACGUCAGAGCUCAUGCUAUAUGAUGGAACAAGUGGUUCAUACAAGCAGCCGUCCUUUACUACACCGCCGGCUUAUACUCAGAUACCACCUUUUCAUCAACCUCCUUUUAUUCAACCUCCGAUUUAUCAACAUGUGCCGAUUCCGCCGCCAAUUAUUCCCCAACAACAACCGGAUUGGACGGCGCAAAUCGCGGAGGUAAUGCAAGAACAAUUCGGACUGAAGCCGAAGGUGCAAACUUAUACCUACAGGACACCAUACCCAUCUACGUACGACUUGUUGCCGUUUCCCCAUCGGUACAAAGUCCCGGAUUUCACUAAAUUUUCCGGAAUAUAUGAUACUUCUACCGUGGAACAUGUGAAUAGAUUCAUCAUCCAAUGCGGAGAAGCAGCUACGCAAGAUGCCCUACGGGUACGGUUGUUCUCGUCAUCUUUGUCUGGAUCGGCUUUCCAAUGGUUCACCACUUUGCCACCAAACUCGAUUAUCACAUGGGCCGAUCUAGAGAGGCAGUUCCACAAGUACUUCUAUGCUGGAGUCCACGAAAUGAAGUUGUCUGAUUUAACUAGCCUCCGGCAACGAAGUGAUGAGCCGAUACCCUCGUACAUACAGAGGUUUCGGGAAAUCAGAAACAAAUGCUACUCCUUGGCUCUAACCGAUGCGCAGUUGGCCGAUAUAGCUUUCCAAGGCCUGCUGCCACACAUUAAGGAGAAAUAUGCUUCGCAAGAAUUCGAGAGCCUGAGCCAGAUUGUCCACCGAUUGUCCGGACAAGAGGUGCGUCCAUUCGAUCCAAGAAGGAAUUUCCAGAAGAAAGUGGCGUUCCUGGAAGAAUUAGAGGACGAGGAAGACGCCGACAUCGGACUUGCAGAGUGGAUUAAAGGAAAGAAGCCGAUAUCAUGCCCGUUCGGCAAAAAGGAGCCGGAAGCAUUUGGUUUCGAUACAACUAAAGCUGACAAAAUCUUUGAUCUUCUACUCCAGGAAGGACAAAUUAAACUCUCGCCUUACCACACGAUACCCUCUGCCGAACAAUUGAAGAAGAUGAAGUAUUGCAAGUGGCAUAACGCCACAUCACAUGAUACCAACGCCAUUGAGCAAGGCAGACUCAAAUUUGAAGUGCCGGCAAAACUGGCUAAACCUAUGAAGAUUGAUCAACACCCUUUUCCUACCAACAUGGUGGAUACGGGUAAGAAUCCCCUCCAAACAAAAGUGCUGACGUCCGAAUCGGCAAAAAGGAGCGGCUCUGUCGACCCCAGAAAUCAAGUUACACCCGAAGACAUCAAAGGGAAACGGCGAAUGGAGGACGACGAUGGUGAGUCUGAUAGACCACGUAUUACUUCCCAGUUCCUGCUCCAAAAGUACCAACGCCAACAUGAACGAUCGAGGUCCCGAGAGGAAGCAAUGCGUCGACACGAAGAACACUGGAGAUGCCCAUUCUUCAUCCAUUGUUGGGAAAAUAACCUCAGGCUUCCAUCAGCCGAUACUUGCCCAGAGUGCAACGGUCCCUAUCGAAGCAAUCGGCCGAUUACAAGGUCUCGCUCCAGAGACGGAAGGCCAGAACCGAUCAGCAGGAAUCGGCGCAACCCAGAUGAUCAGCGCCCUUCCAUGCGUGAUCGGCUGGGGGGCAGAAGUGACCGAUAUGAUCGGUCAGAAGAUAGAAGCCAUAAUAGGCAGGGGGGCAGGACCGAUCGACAUGAUCAAUCAAGUAGCAAAGCCAGCGUUCACAGUCGGCUCCAAGACAUGGCCGAUGCUCGGGUAACAGACGAGAACCCGUUAGGACGCGAGCCAGAAUGGGAACGCGCCAGGAAAGAAGGGAGGCCAAUAAACCCCAGAUGGUGUCCCGAUGGUUUGACCAAAUCACAAAAACGAAGAGUCCAACGCCUCCGCCAAUGGGAACAGCAAGAAGAAGAAAGCGCGAUGGACAAGAAGGAAGGGAGGCCUCGGGUAUGGCGCCCCAAAGGAAACGACAAGGGCAACGAUGAAUCGGCGGGUGAUGAAUCGGCAGCCGAAAUCGGUAUGGUUUUCAUAUUGCCGACGGAGUUUAUGACCCCUGCCGAUCAACAGAACGUGUCGGCAAUAGAGGAACAAACAGCACGGUUGGCGUUAGAACCAAUGAUGGCCACGUUCGAAAAGCCCGAAGACGACGAACGACAACAUAUGAAGGCGUUGUUUCUUAAAGGGCAUGUUGACGGUCGCCCCCUCACUAAAUUGAUGGUCGACGGGGGAGCUGCCGUCAACAUCAUGCCGUAUGCCAUACUCCGAAAGCUGGGAAAGAGCGAUGACGACCUAACCAGGACGGACAUGAUGCUCAAGGACUUCGAAGGCAAGGUGUCAAACGCUCGCGGUGCCCUCUGCGUUGACCUCACCAUCGGCAGUAAGACCCUUCCUACCACGUUUUUCGUCAUUAAUGGCAAAGGGUCCUAUAAUAUGCUUCUUGGACGAGACUGGAUACACGCAAACUGCUGCAUACCGUCAACUAUGCAUCAAUGCCUGGUACAAUGGGUCGGCGACAACAUCGAGGUGGUCAAAGCCGACUCCGCGUACAGCAUCGCAGCAGCCGACGCACAGCAAUGGAGCUGCGAAACCGUCAGGUGCAUAUCAGGUAGGGUGUGGGAAACUGAUUUCCUGAAGGUCACCGAUUUUGGCCUACAGCCGAUCCGAGCAGUCGGCUCUGAAGAAGCGCAAUAAAUGGAUCAGUUCGCCCGAGAAGACGGGAAGCUGGGACACGGAUUCACGUCGGCCGAUUCAUUGGAAAUGGUAGAUUUAGGUGACGGGACCAAACCAAGGCCGACUUUUAUUAGUGCAAAUUUAGAUCCAGAGUACAAGUGUAAAUUGACAAAUUUAUUAAGAGAAUUCAAGGAUUGUUUUGCGUGGGAGUAUCACGAGAUGCCCGGAUUAGAUCGAUCUAUUGUUGAACAUCGGCUACCCAUAAAACCAGGGUAUCGGCCGUACCAACAACCCGCACGGCGAUGCAAUCCUAAAAUUUUACCAGACAUAAAAGCCGAAAUAACUCGGCUAAUUGAAGCGAAAUUUAUUCGGCAAUGUCGUUACGCCGAGUGGAUUUCUAAUAUCGUACCGGUGUAUAAGAAAAACGGGAAACUGCGCGUUUGCGUCGAUUUCAGAAAUCUUAAUCAGGCCACACCGAUGGAUGGCUACCCCAUGCCUACGGCCGAUGUACUGAUCGACGCUGCCGCGGGGCACAAAAUUAUUAGCUUCAUGGAUGGGAACGCCGGAUACAAUCAAAUACUUAUGGCCGAAGAGGACAUACCCAAAACGGCUUUCAGAUGUCCAGGCCAUCUUGGUCUAUUCGAGUGGGUGGUGAUGACUUUCGGUUUGAAGAAUGCUGGUGCUACAUAUCAGAGGGCCAUGAACUAUAUUUUCCACAAACUCAUCGGCCUCCUGGUGGAGAUCUACAUCGACGACGUUGUGGUCAAAUCCAAAAGCCACGAGGAACACCUAGCCGAUUUGCGAAGGGUCCUAGAGUGUACCAAGAAACAUGGUCUUAAGAUGAAUCCCAACAAAUGCGCUUUCGGCGUCUCCGCCGGACAGUUCCUAGGAUUCAUGGUGCACGAACGAGGCAUUGAAGUCAAUCAGAAGACCAUAGCGGCCAUCAACAAAGUCGUCGCUCCGCAGAACAAAACUGAACUACAAUCUCUAAUCGGCAAGGUAAACUUCAUCGGAAGGUUUAUAUCUAAUCUAUCUGGACGGAUCCAGACGUUCACACCACUUCUGAAGUUGAAGCCAGACCAAGAAUUUAUUUGGGGAGAAGAACAGCGCAAGGCGUUAGAAGACAUCAAGCGAUACUUAGUCUCGCCCCCAGUCCUGGUUCCCCCCCAAACGGGUAAGCCGUUUAAACUAUAUUUAUCAGCCGAUGAAAAAGCUAUUGGGUCGGCUCUAGUCCAAGAGUUUGAAGGCAAAGAACGGGUGAUUUAUUACGUUAGUAGAAGACUCCUGGAUGCCGAAACAAGAUAUCCUCCAGUAGAGCGUUUGUGUUUGUGUCUUUACUUCUCGUGCACCAAACUCAGACACUAUCUACUGUCGGCAGAAUGUAUAGUCGUAUGCAAAGAUGAUGUAGUGAAAUACAUGCUGUCACUGCCGAUAUUGAAAGGGCGAAUCGGUAAAUGGAUUUUAGCUUUAUCAGAAUUUGACCUACGGUACGAAUCGGCAAAAGCCAUCAAAGGUCAAGUCAUGGCCGAUUUCGUCGCACAGCACUGUGGGCCGGAGAUCGCCUUCGUGGAACUAGCGCCUUGGCAGUUAUUUUUUGAUGGGUCAUCAUGCGGAGUCGGAUCGGGAAUCAGCAUCGUUCUCAUAUCGCCUCGGGGGGCAAGAUACGAUUUUUCUCUGCCGAUAGAAACCGCCACCACAAACAAUCAAGCGUAAUACAGAGCUGUAUUAAAAGGCUUACGAUUAUUGAGAGAAGUCAAGGCCGAUUCUGUCGAGGUCUUCGGAGAUUCGAUGUUAAUCGUGGAUCAACUAACCGGGAAGGCUGAGUGCAAAGAUGACAUAUUACGAAUUCAUCACGAAGAUUGCCUACAGCUGUUAAAAGAAUUCAGAUCGGCAGUAAUCGAGCAUGUCCCAAGAGACCGCAAUGAGGAAGCGAACAAACUCGCUCAACACGCAUCUGGGUAUCGGCCGAUUCUAGGCGCCAUGGCCUUAGAGCUUGCAGCUGACGAUUGGCGCAAAGAAAUUGCCGAUUACCUAAAGGAUCCGUCUAAAAAGGUGGAGCGGCGAGUACGCUUUCACGCUACCAAAUACGUAUUACUCGAAGAUGAUCUGUUUUACCGAACGAUCGAAGGUGUUCUUCUUAAAUGCCUUGGGACAGAAGAAGCCAAGACUCUAAUGGGAGAAAUCCACGAAGGGGUAUGCGGAGCUCACCAAUCAGCACAUAAGAUGAAGUGGAUGAUCAGAAACAAUGGGUACUAUUGGCCUACGAUCCUUGAAGAUUGUUUCAAAUAUUAUAAGGGUUGUCAGGAGUGUCAAAAGUUUGGAAAUGUCCAGCAUGCACCUGCAUCGGCCAUGAAUCCCAUCAUCAAACCAUGGCCGUUCAGAGGGUGGGGAAUAGACCUUAUCGGCCAAAUUUAUCCACCAUCGAGCAAGGGGCACAAGUUUAUUCUGGUCGCCACCGAUUAUUUCACCAAAUGGGUGGAGGCAAUCCCAUUAAGAACUGUGACUUCGGCUAUCAUGGCCGAUUUUGUAAGGGAUCAUAUCGUCUACCGAUUCGGUAUCCCUCAAACUGUAACAACCGAUCAAGGAACGAUGUUCACAUCGGGGGAAUUUGAGGAGUUUACAACCGAUAUGGGCAUCAAAUUGUUAAAUUCUUCUCUGUAUUACGCUCAGGCCAAUGGUCAAGCAGAAUCUUCCAACAAAGGAAUAAUCAAGUUGAUCAAAAGGAAGAUUGAAGAAUACCCGAAGAAGUGGCACCUGUGUUUAACCGAAGCCCUAUGGGCAUACAGAAUGGCCUGUCAUGGGGCCACCAAGUUAUCUCCUUAUCAGUUGGUAUACGGUCACGAUGCAGUACUUCCAUGGGAAUCGAGGGCAGGAUCAAGGCGCAUUUCACUUCAAGACCAGUUAUCGGCCGACGACUACUCGGCACUUAUGAAAGAAGAACUUGAUGAUGUGGCCGGUCAUCGACUAAGGGCUCUGAUAAGUAUCGAAGAGAAUAAAAAGAGAGUGGCCAGGUGGUACGAUAAAAAGGUCAAAGUCAAGCAGUUCUCCCCCGGAGAUUUGGUAUGGAAGUUAGUACUACCGAUCGGGUCGAAAGAUCCUAAAUUCGGUAAAUGGUCUCCUACCUGGGAAGGGCCGUAUAAAAUCGGCAAAUGCUUAUAUCUUGGAAACAAUAGAAGGAGAAGAAUUCACUAGAGCUCUGAAUGGGAGGUAUUUAAAAAGGUAUUACCCAAGUAUAUGGGUCGGUGCCUAAGGAAUUAAACACGAUCAUACAUGACCGAUACGAUUCGGUCUUGAGACACACAUAAAGUCAACCGGAACGGCCGAUUACAUUCAUUCGGUACGGGCGACGGGUUACAUGGCCGACAAAAUGUUUAGUCGCCCUUAGAACAAAAAUACAGCAACUAAUUAUUCUUUUUCUUACGCUCCCUCUCAGCCCGACCUAACUCUAUCAUGAGUCGGAUGUAUUCUUCUUCUAUGGCCUUCAUUGAAAUCUCCGCUUCGACUUGACCGGGGAGAUCUACGGGAGGGCGCGAAGUCCCCACUCCCGCAUCUUCAAGAACGACUUGCCGAGGGAGUGGAUGACUCCUGUCAAUGGGAGGUCGACGGCUGCCAUUCCUCUCCACGAAGUCCAGGAUCAUUCGGGCCUCCGUGGCGAUGUCGUCUUCAAGAUCGCCACAACGAUCGCCCCUGACAGGUGGAGAUUGCUGGUUACUUUCACUCACCACGGAAUCCAAGACUACGCGAGCCUCCGUGGUAAUGUGAUCCUGGAGCUCUUCUCGGUGAGCCGCGAUCAGCAUCUUGUCCUCCGACGUUAAUGGAUCUUCGGAAUGAAUGCACUCAAUGGCGCGCACGAGCUCGGGGCUAAGACGUUGAGGCUGAAACAAAGAAGGGAUGAGGAGGGAUAUUCUCUUCCUUAGGGUCUAAAAAAGAAAGGAAGGUAGAGGUCAAAAAACUUCACCUGGUUAACAGAGGAAGAAGAAGAUGACGAGGCCAUAGCGAAGAAAUUGCACCGAUGAGAAGGGGCAGAAAGGUUGAACCGAGAGCCAAGAUUGAUGUUACCAGGAGUAAGCGCCGAGCUUGGUAUUUAUAAAAGAAUGCGUGGAAAUCUGGUAAAGCUACGUCCCAUCGGUAAUAAGAAGGCAAUAAAUAGAAAGGGCGUCGCGAGGGGCGGUCAAAGAAGGUAGUAAAUGAUUCGUACAAAACGGUCAGUGUUUUACAGAUUACCCAGAAGGGUAUCGAUGGCCGUGAUGGCCCGACGCCGGAUCUGAUCGGCAGAGUCAAGUACCCGUUGGUCUUCUUCCGCCGAUCCAGGAACCUCCGAUGCGCUGCGAUGGAGUCUCAGUGCCUCGUGAGCAAAGCGUUGCCUCUCCCGUGUUAAAUCGGCAAUAACAGAAGGUAGCUCUUCGAGUUUGUUCUCUUCGGCACUGAUUGCCUUGAUCACUUGCUCCAUUUCCUUGGCAAGCUCCGCCCUACGACGCUUGAGACGGUCUAUUUCUCCUAUGAUCGCCGGACGGGAAUCUUCUAGGACAUGGAUACGCCGAUUCGCCUCUUGAGCCUGACGUUUGAAAGCGUCUUCCUCUUCGCGAGCCUUGGUCAGCUUAGCGCGAUCGGCCAUGUGACGAAGGGCUCUGAAGACCGGGAUCCUCAUAGACUCGAUGAAGGCCGCCGGCGCCAGGGCCUCCUCCGCCUCUUCUGGUACUCGUCCGCUGACGUCAUUGAAGAGCUGCCGAAUCGGCGAGGCGUCUUCUACUAAUCGGCCGAUGUCCCCUUGAAGGAGGGAUCGGAUGCUGGAAAGUUUGGCUCGGACGUCGUCAGGAACGGAACUCAAGGCGACUUGGCGAGAAGCAACUUCUUCGUCGUCAGAGAGGGCGACCGCAAAAGAAAAGAGACUGUUGUCGGGGGUAUCCUGUUCCUGAAGAUAAUAAAGAAAAGAAAUGAACCAGCUGUAAGAAAGAGCAAAUCGGCUAAGAUGGAGGCCGAAACAGAAAAAUACCAUUUUGAAGCGAAUCUCCUCAUGUUGCACUUGAGAAGCCGCCAUGCCUUGCUCGGGGGCCUGCGCCAUGGGUUCAUCAGAUGGAGAGGACUCCACGAUAAUUGGCGCAGUGUUUGGACCAGCCUCCUGACAAGAAAUCGGCGAUCGAGGAGCGAUUGAUGUGCCGAUGGCCUGUGUCAGAAGUUUGAAUAAAUACGGUACGUAAAUGCCCAAAGGAAAUCGGUACGAGAAGUUCUAUACAUUAACGGAAGGAAACGGGGGCACGUCAAUAGCUGGAGGGGCUGCUGCCGAUUGUGGUACUUCUGUAGGGAUGCUCUGUGCAGUUUAAAGAUAAAAGAAAAAUUAAUAUCAAAAAUAAUAAUCGGAGACAGCGCAACUCAGUUUUACCUGUAUGGCCUCCAACAACAACGAUGCGGCGGCCGCCCCAGCUUGCGUCAUGGUUUGAGUAUCGGCACCUUGAAUGACUUGAGGAGGUGGUACGGCCGAAGUGUCUGCCGAUACGCUCACGGGAGGAUCCGCCGAUCCCGUACGAGCCCGGACUCGGCGACUGGUCUUCUUGGUAGUCCUUUUAUGAACUUGUUUCGAUCGGCCAGUAAUCACGUCAACAGACGGGGCGUUAUAGCCGAUAAGGGGAUAAGUAGUGUAUGGAUGACUCUCUAUCAGUCGUCCGCUGCGGCUGUGUGUUGGAGGGAUCCGAUUCUCGGCCUAAAAUAAUAAAAUCAUUAGUACUCGGUCGUGUUAAGGGGAAUAAAAGGGAAUAAAAAUCGGCUAUGUGAAGUACCUCGGCGUUUGGAUCAAUGUUGGUCGGGUCCAGAAGAUUGCAGUAUGCCGAUGCUGAGUUGCAGAAGAGGAAUUGCUUCCAAUCAGCCCACCAUAGUUUGAACGGCUGAACAGCAAAUGGAGCUACUAGCCAGUCGUUCAAGUUAAUUGUACUGGAGUCUGGAAUUCGGUCUCGCAACCGACCGUAAUCUAGGCUAGAUUUGAGAUCAUCUCUAAACUUGAUUUUGCCAGCAAAGUACACCUGAAUCGGCAGCUGACCCAUGCCAAAUUGUCGUGCCGCAGCAGAAGGGUUGUAGAAUUCAUACGUAGGGGCAUCCUUCCCUGAGAAGAAAUUGGCCGGUAGGAUCCCUGGCUUGAUCAACCCUUCAUAGAGAUCUUCAUCAAACCGGCCAGAAGUUGAGUCAAAGCAGGAAGGGAGCUCGAAGAUGGGAAUGUCUCGCUGGUAUGGAAACCAGAUAGUUGCGUCCUCAUUAAAUCCAUCGUAAAAGCACCGAAAGUACUCGGCUACCUUUGUAGCGGAAUACGCACAACCUGGAAAAGCUGAUGCCGCUUCACCAUAAGACAUGCAUCGGCGACGCUCGGUAGGGUCUUCCGCCGAUUCAAUAUUGGGAAACGUCAUGUGGUCCACUGGCUGCCGGGUGAUCCUGUUCAUGUAAAGGUUCAACCAUAGAUUGACGAACCACCAAGGCCCACCUGGGUUGCCGAUUGGUUCUCCCUUGGAAAGUUUUGUGCCGAUUUGGUGGAGCAUGUGGUACACAGCACCCAGAAGAUGUUUCCCGAGAGGAAUGUGGCUUCCUUUGGACAGUGCCUCGGCUAAAGAUUGGGUGUUGGUUGUUGGGCCGGCGGCUCUUCCACAGAAAAGGUGUUUUUCUAGCCACAUCAUCAGGAAAGCGGUGUGCUCCCUAUUAUCAAUAGUACCGGUCUUCUUGUUAUUACUAAUAAAGCCCUUCCAGCUGCCGAUUCCUCUUACGUCCAGCCGAUGCGACGGUACGGUCAGAAGUUGGAAAGGCGUGUCAGGAGAGGAUAUGUCCAGGCCGGUCAAGAGGACCACAUCGGCCAGAGUGGGGGUCAUAGGACCGUGUCCAAAUAAGAAUGCAUUAAGAGCGUCAGACCAAAAAUAGGAAGCCGCCAUCACUAGCGGUUCGUUUUUCUCCAUUUGCGACAGAGAGAGGUUGAUACAUUGGCCGAUUUUGAGUUCAUCCCACAAGACGCUCUUUGACGUGGCCAUCCGUUGGUACCAUUCCCUCCAACCGGGGGUUUCAUUCGGCCAAGAUCUAAAAGUGCUGGCCCAUUGAUCUAAGUUCAUGUCAGAUCGUUUGAAAGGUAUCCGGUCAGUUUCCAAGUUUAUGAGGUCUGCUGGAUCUGGGUCUCCCAUGGGACCAAGGCAAACAAGGCCAGGACUACCCGUGAGAUGGAUAGUGAUUCUAUGUCUAACCGCCUAAAUGAGGAAAAGAGGCAUAAGAAUAUAAGGAAUAGAUCUAAGAUAAAUACGUUACCGAUAGAGGAAAAAUUCGGUGUUUACCUCCGGUAUAAAAUUCUGAGUAAUCGGUGUGGUCGCCGAUGCAGAUGCAGAUGAUGAAGCCGUAAUGGGGAUCGCCAUUGGGAUCUCUGAUGAAGCUCCUUCAUCUAUGGAUGGAGUGACGGUUGUUGCCACCGUUACCGGAGGUGCUACCUCCACCGGGGGCAUUGUCCCUGGAGCAUCGCGUGCUGGGGAAUUACCGGAGGGAGUCGCCAUUGAAGGGGAGGGGAAGAAGUGACAGGAGCUGGAGCUGGAAGGCUUCGAUGGCAAGAUUGAAGAAGGAAGGAAGUGCGCGCGCUGGAAAGAGGGAUGUGAGCUUGAAGAUGAGUUGCGGUGAAAUGAUAUUUAUAGGGUGCCUGAAGAAAGGGUAAAGAUGGAAUUUUCAACGCGCCGGCGCGUCGAGUUUUUCGGGGUAGUGGCUGUCGUGGGCGCCCGUUUCAAAAAAUUGCAAUGAUCAGCCGGGAGACCGCGAAACGGAAGGAUAUUUUCACUGCGGCCGUUUCGGAAGAGAGGUUAUAAAGAAUUUCGAAGUAAAAGGCUAUGUUUUACUCCGAAACUGGGGGGCAUGUGUUGACGCCGGAUUUCGUCAUCAGUAGAAUCGGCGCCAAAGAGGAAAGAAAUCGAAGGAGGACGGAUGGAAAUCGGCCAAAAGGUGCUACAGCGCGGAAUCGGUCAAGUGGCUUUUACUUUGCUUCAGAGUGAAUACGCCGGGUUCCCAAUCGGCAAUCCUUUGCUGAUAAGAAAUCGGCCGAUCAGGAAGGUGGACUAAGGUGGGCCUGUAUGGGCUUGGAAAGAUGGAAGGAUAAGGUGGAGUUCAGCCCAUGAAGCGUGGGGUAAUUAGUUUAGCUCGGAUUGUGCUUGUAGAUAUUUGUUUUCUGUUUAAAUUAGAGAUAGAGUCCUAGUCGGUUAAGAAGAUUAUUUGUACGGGGCUAUAAAUAGCUACCUUUGUAAAUCUGUAAAAAAAAAAAACAAUCAAUCAAUACAACAAGUUACUUUAUUCUUCGUACUUACUUUCGAGCAGGCGACUUCGCCAUCACUUUUCCUUCUCACGAGUUCGUGCGGGUUGGCAGGGCUGCAUCAUCUUGAUCUCCGGCCGAUUCUGUAAGUUCCGUUUAUCGAGUAAUAUCUAAGCUUUAACUUCCGGCGCAUCGCUGUUGUUUCGUUUAGAUUUUAUUCAUCAGUUAUCGAUAUCGACUAGAUUCAUAGGUUUUUACCUGUUCUCCUAGUUUUUAUCACCAGUUACCCCGCUAGGAAUCGGUAGUAUCGGCUUUCAUUACUUUCUGUUACCAAAUCCAUCUGUUGCCGAUUAGAUCUUUUCCUGGUGCUGUUACUACGUGCCUUGUACCGAUUACUUUAAUAUUUUUCUAUCUACAAGGCUACGGGGGUCGUGCUGUCUUGUAGCCGAUUUCUUUACCACAGUAAAUCGGCCGAUCUGCCGAUAAGCUCUCUCGAUCGGAAACUUAGCCGAUCGUAGUUACUGAUUUUGACACGUGUUCUUCCUUGCCAAUCAACAGGUCAGAUUGGCUGGCACGCCGUGCGAACCGCACCAGGGCAUUCACCCGAACAGGAGCUAAGCAGAUUCUCCCGGGUCGUGUGUCGGCCGCUGGGAUUCGGUUGACCGAUUUCUAGCGCCAACAUCUGCGCAUUCAAAUAAUUUAAUUGAAUAAUUUCUUGAUCACAGCAAUGCAGUAAAAUAAAUAUUUUACAGGCUAAAUGAGUUGGUAUAGAAUUAAUGAUUACUUCAUACUUAUUGUCAAUUUACUCGUUAAUUAAAUAUAUUUUUGCAUGUACAAAAUCUGUGAAGGUUUUGUUUUUCAUCCUGAAAUGCAGUGAAAAGGUAAAAUAAAAUCCAUUUCCAAAAAACAGGCGGGAGAAGAAAAAUAGGAAAAAAGACCUUUUGUCUCGGGGCUAACAGCAACCGGGACAAAAGGCCCCCCUUUUAUCCUGGUUGCCAACGGCAACCGGGAUAAAAGGGUACGUUUCGUCUCCCGCCCAAACGUACCCUUUUAUCCCGGUUGCCAACUGCAGCAGGGAUAAAAGGGUACACUCCCAGCCCCACCUGGCGGGGGUACCCUUUUGUCCCGGGUCCCGUCGCCAACCGGGAUAAAAGGGGGGGGGCCUUUUAUCCCGGUUGGUGNNNNNNNNNNNNNNNNNNNNNNNNNNNNNNNNNNNNNNNNNNNNNNNNNNNNNNNNNNNNNNNNNNNNNNNNNNNNNNNNNNNNNNNNNNNNNNNNNNNNGACGAGACGACGACGCGAGACGACGACGGCCGAGGCGAAGACGACGACGGCGGCGUAGGCGGGACGGCGACGAGACGGCGACGAGGGGCGACGAGGAUGGAGCCGGCGACGAGGAUGUGGAGCCGGUGGCCGGAGGCGACGAGGUGGCCGGGGGCCGGGCGCGUCGACGGACGAGGAGGGGAUCGAGGAGGGCCGGCCGGGGGACGACGACGGCGCAAUGGGGGACAUCGACGGCGCAAUGGGGGACGACGACGGCGGCGGCCGGUGAGGGAGGCGGACGGGCGGCGACGGCGGAGAACGCGCGGGACUUGCGAAAUUUUGGCUAAGUGUGUAACUGGCAGGGGGUAGAAGGGAGUACAGUGCCUUUUAACCCCCCCCUUUUAUCCCGGUUCGUAAUAGGACCCGGGACAAAAGGCUCUUUUGUCCCGGGUCCUAUUACGAACCGGGAUAAAAGGGGGGGGUUAAAAGGCACUGUACUCCCUUCUACCCCCUGCCAGUUACACACUUAGCCAAAAUUUCGCAAGUCCCGCGCGUUCUCCGCCGUCGCCGCCCGUCCGCCUCCCUCACCGGCCGCCGCCGUCGUCGUCCCCCAUUGCGCCGUCGAUGUCCCCCAUUGCGCCGUCGUCGUCCCCCGGCCGGCCCUCCUCGAUCCCCUCCUCGUCCGUCGACGCGCCCGGCCCCCGGCCACCUCGUCGCCUCCGGCCACCGGCUCCACAUCCUCGUCGCCGGCUCCAUCCUCGUCGCCCCUCGUCGCCGUCUCGUCGCCGUCCCGCCUACGCCGCCGUCGUCGUCUUCGCCUCGGCCGUCGUCGUCCCGCCGUCGUCGUCUUCGUCCUCGUCGCCGUCCCGCGCGCCGCCCGGCCGCCGCCGUCCCGCCGCCCCGGCCGCCGCCGUCCCGCCACCCCGGCCGCCGCCGUCCCGCCGCCCCGGCCGCCGCCGUCCCGCCGACCCGGCCGCCGCCGACCCGCCGACCCGGCCGCCGCCGUCCCGCCGUCCCGCCGUCCCGGCCGUCGGCCCGCGCGGGAGAGGUCCGCUGCCGCGCCGGCCGGCAGCGCCGGGAGGGUUUUCUUUUUAAGUUAAUUAGAAAAUUAAGUUUUAUUUUUAGAUAGAAUUGUAAUUUUGUUAAGUUAGAUUUUUAGAUUUCUAGUUAGUUUGUUAAGUUAGAUUUCUAGUUAGUUUUUUAAGUUAGAGUUGAUAUAGAGAUCGCCGAGUAGCCGCCGUGAUCGUCGCCUUGUAGCCGCCGUGAUCGCCGCCGAGUAGCCGCCGUGAUCGCCGCCAUCCCGCCGCCCAUCACAACCUAGUAGGCACCGCCCGUGGUUCCGGUGAACCGUCCCCGCCGUACCGCCGCCCUGACCGCCGCCGUCCCGCCUCCGCCGCCCUGAUCGCCGCCGUCCCGCCUCCGCCGCCCUGAUCGCCGCCGUCACAACCUAGGCACCGCACGUGGAUAUUGUUACAAAUUCGUAGAAAUUCGUCAAAAUUCGUAGAAAUUCGUCAAAAUUCGUAGAAAUUCGUAGAAAUUUGUAGAAAUUCAUAGAAAUUCGUAGAAAUUCGUAGAAAUUUGUAGAAAUUCGUAGAAAUUCAUAGAAAUUCGUAGAAAUUCAUAGAAAUUUGUUGAAAUUCGUCAAAAUUCAUAGAAAUAUUUCGGACUUUGUACGAUUCAUGUUAUUUUAUGAUUUCAUUAUAUACAUGUAUGAUUCCAUUCCGGACUUUGUACAAAUUUGUAUUAAGACGAUUUCUAUGACUGUCAUGUAUGAUUCCAUGUAUGUUUCCAUCAAUAGUUGAAAUGGCAGACGAUGAGACCGCAAGGUAUAUCAUGGAGCAGAUAAUCGCUGGUGAUGGUAGUGGCGACAACGUUCCACUAUCAUACACGUAUGAAGAGGGCACCCAGGCGGACAUGUUCCUCAACAUGUCCGCUGAUGGGAAUGAAGAGCAACAGCCGCAACAACAACUUGCCGUGGCGGAAGGUUCCGGCGAGGUAUAUACAACCAUUCUUGUAUUGUUUCACGCCACCGCUACUACUACGUACUAAUUAACGAAUCUUGAACUGUUAGCCCUCCGGAUCGACACAAGGGCAGAAGACCUGAGGUCGUACAAAGGUGAUGGAAGGGAGGCUUGUCAUCACCGAAGUUACAGAAGAGGGCAAGCCGGUUGCUCCCGAGAAAGUAGCAAAGAAGUACGUGAGUCAAAUCGGGGCAAUCGUUCGGGACAACGUGCCUAUCAGCAUCAGAGAAUGGAAGGGCAGAAGAGAUAAUCCGUACGCCCUUCCAGAGAUAGAAAAGAAUAUGCUGUGGGAAGACGUGAAGAGACAUUUCACAUUCCCCGAAGGAUAUAGCGAGAAGGAUGUCAAAGCGUGGACGCUUAAGAAGAUGGCUACUCAAUUCCAGACAUUCAAGAAGAUGCUGGACACCCACUACAUCAAGAAGGGCAAAACUCCAGACUUCAACGCGUGGCCAAAGUUGAGGGACCACUGGGAUGCAUUUGUUGAAUACAAGAGGAGUGAAGAAGGUGUGAAAAAGAUCACGACCAACAUAGCAAAUGCUAGUCAGAAGGGCUACCACCAUCAUUUGGGGUGAGGUGGGUAUGGCUCAGCAAUUCCCAAGUGGAGGAAGAUGGAACAAGAUCUGAUCGAACGGGGAAUCGUACCUGCAACUAUUGAAUGGCCCGAACGAUCAAAGAACUGGUACUACGCUCAUGGAGGCUCCCUAAGCCAAGAGGAUGGGACGCUGAUUUUCAAUGACACAAUACGUGAGAAGGCCGAACAUCUCAUGAAGAACAUUGAAGAUUCCAAGGCUGGGAGGUUGAGGGUGGACCAAGAAAAUGAUGAGCUCACAUUGGCCCUCGGUAAUCCAGAGCACCCAGGACGUUGCCGGGGGUUCGGGGUGGUUCCGUGGAAGUUCGCUUUCCGAGGCGACAGCGCCUCUUACAGAAGCCGGAAGCGAAGAAAGGAACAGAUGGAGGAGAGCUGGUAGCAGAUGGUAGAACAAAGAAUGAUGGAUGAAAUCAAUCGGCGGGUGGCCGACGCAGUUGCGGAGUUGGCGCAAUCUGGAGCAAUGCCGAAUCCUAACACCGCCAGCCCUUCUCAACGCCUCGGGAGCAGUUGUGCUUCUACAGGGGUCCCCGAUGCGCAGACGCCCAGGUUACCCGUGGAGGAGCAAUGGUUCCCCGUGGAUGCCAUCACGCAACGGACCUCAUGUAAGCUGCAUGCACCGGUCGGCAACCUCACUAUUAAGGUAUACUUAUACAUAAUAUUUAUGCAAUCUUGUCAAUUGAUCCAGGCCUCGAGAUCGGAGUUCAACCUGUUUACUUCUACUAUAUGUACAGGUAGCGUACGGGAGUGUGUUACCAACCCUGGCAGGGCAGAGCAGUCAUGGCAUGGACAUUCCAACAGGCUACGCCAGCGUCUGCGUCGAGCAAAUAGUUGAUCCCCAGUAUGAAGGUCUAGAGCUCGACUUCCCGGGAGGCGACGGGGAAAAGACAUUGGCAGAUGCGCUUCAUGGGAUCAUUCUAUGGAAGAAACGCUACAUCAUUAUUCCCCGCACGGAGCCAUCUCCUCAGACCUCAAGACCACUCCCCGUAGAUCCCCAGCAGCGACCUUCUCCUCAUACCUCGAGACCGGCAUCUCCUGCUCCAGGACCGUCUCUUCCAUCUAUAUCAAGGUCUCCAUCUCCACCACAUCCUGGUGCUGGGAGCGACGACGACAAUAACAACACCCCUCCCCGAUCACCGUCACCGGCACCAAGAGCGGCCCCCUCGAAGGAACCUGCAGCACCACUCAAGAAGUCACGAGCACCGCCUCCCAAGCAAAGACAGAGAAAGAAGAAAACAAAGGUCGACCCUGAAGUGGCUCGCAAGGAACGCUUUGAGGCAAUGUCUCAUGAAGAACAGUGGGCAGAAAUCCAACGAGAGGCCAGUGAGUGGUUCAAGAAACAAGCCGAAUUAAAAAAGGCAAGGGAGAUGGAGCCACCGUCAGUAAGUCGGCGAGAUUUAAACUUUUUUAUCAGGAUGGAGGAAGAAGCCAAGAAAAGGAUACCACUCUUGUCAAACUAUGAACGGGCUCUAGUAAAGGCUGAUGAAAAGGAUAAAAGGAAAGGAAAAUCAUCCUCCAGCAGUCCAGUCCCCGACCUCAGCCAUUUAUCAAAAAAAGAUGCUCAACGGGUAAAAGCAAUGCCCUUGGAUCAACAAGCAAAUAUAUUGAAGUUCAUGGAAGAAACAGGUCUGGGACUUGAUGAAUGCAUAGGGCAAGUCGAGACGCCAACUGCACCGCCCCCUGAGCCGAAGUGGACUUAUGAGCUAGGCAAACCUCUAGUAAAGCCUUCAAUGGUACGGAAGCUAUCAACAAAGAUGUACGAAUUCCAUCAAUGGUCGGCAUGAAGGUAAAACCGAUAGAUUUUCACGGUGAAGGGGAGAAAGUGCUGUGGCUAGACUUCAAGGAUAUAUACGAAGUGUACCAUCAUGAUGCCCUGGACGUCUCUCUGAUCAGCGCUUGGAUUCUGUAAGUGUCCGUUUAUUAUCUCUACAUGUAAAUUUUGGCGUGCGUCACCGUACUAACUUCAUCUUCCAUUUCAUGUAGGAUGCUAAUUCAGACAUGCCGCCGAGAGGCGUACCUACAUGUAGGCUUCAUGGAUCCAUCUGUAGUUAACCAACAACAGAUACAAUUAGCGCCGGAAAAAACCUUUGCGGAAAUAUACAAUUUCCUACACAAACAAACAUUCAAGGAUUUCAUACUACUUCCAUACAACUUCAAGUAAGUGUGUGUAUACCGUCUACUUUCGAUGUCUUUUUCCUUAUCUCUACAUGUUAGUUAGCUCUAAUAUGCAUGAACAUUUUACGCACGCAGCUUCCACUGGAUCCUUAUUAUAAUUGAGCCUGAAAGAAGCCACGUCACUGUCUUAGAUUCGUUAAGGAAAGAUCCGAUGGACUACCAAGAAUUGCAAGACAUGCUAGGCUUGUAAUAAUUCUGGACCUUUAUCUCUAUGCAAAAAUUUAUUUCCUAAAUUUUAUCCCUGUUACACUAUGUCAUUCAUUAUUCUAAUCCGCAGCGCAUGGAAACAAUUCAUAAGGACACACAAAGGUCCAUUCAAAGAAAAUCUUACAUGGAACACAGACUUCCCGGUACGUAUGCAGUCUGCACAUUUAUUACAUUGUAUAACACAAAUAUUUCAUAACUUAUUUUUUUCCGCACUGAAGUGCUUAAGACAGGAACCCGGGAAUAAUCUAUGUGGCUACUACAUCUGUGAGCACAUGCACAGUUUUUUGGGACCCAAGGGACCGAAGAUGACGCCGCACAACUUUAAAGUACGUAAAAUAACUAUAUUACUAGUUAAUUAUUUUCUAGCUCCUUAUAUGUAUUUGUUCAUGUAACAUUCACAAAUUUCCAAAUUAUAGAUGUUAAAUAUUCAACAAGGACUCUUGAAGGAAGAAAGAGUAGCGGCAAUAUGUGAAGGUCUCAUUGGAUUCAUAAUGGACGAGGUGGUGGACGAGGUGGUAAAUCCAAGAGGAGAAUUUUAUUACGAUGGACGACAAUUAGACACUCCGAUCAGCAACACCACGAUGGAUACUUUGAUUUAUUUGUAUAUAUAAUACGCGCUAAUUAUGAUCGAUUUGUACUAAGCUAGUUGAAUUGUGUAUAUGAAUUGUGUAUAAGGAUUGUGUAUAUAUAUAGUAAUUGUAUAAUUACAAAUCCCAUUCGUUUAAAUACUAGUUGAUUUCGUUCUAAAAAAAUCUCAACUACAAGGUUAACAAAUUAAAAGGGCUGCGGUACUACUAUACGUAUACGUGAUGCAUGCAUGAAAAAUUCAGACGUCACGGCUGUGCCAUGCAAGCGCCAUUUAGUCCCGGUUGGAAUCGAGCCGGGACUAAAGGGGACCCCUUUAGUCCCGGUUGGGAAAUCCAACCAGGACUAAAGGGGGACCUUUACUCCCGGUUAAAAGACCCGGGAGUAAAGACCCCCCCCUUUUGUCCCGGUUGGUUUAUCCCGGAUGGAUAUCCGAGAGAUAUGCACCCUACCAACCGGGACUAAAGGCCAAUUCUCUACCAGUGUAGACCAAACAUGAUACACACCAUGCGUACCUUGCUGUGCAGACUAUGCAUUGACAAGAUACCCGACCACAUGUUGGCCUCGGUCACAUCAAAAGAAUCAUGUAGGCCACCAAUAAACUACUUGAAGCGGCAUUCCGUAUCGUAUAUGCAUUGCCGGUUCAUCUGCAUUACAUUACAUAAAGCACUAUUAACUAUUUGAAUAAAAUGAACCAAUUUAAAAGUAAUGUGUUGUACUCUACUAUAGAAAGCCCUAUCACUGCCGGAUCCAAAAACAUCAUUGUUAAUGGUGGUUAAGUACCAAAUAUGAUGGUCAAUAUUCUCAAGAAUAAUGGAGAAUUAGCAUUUCUUAGACACAUAUUUGGUUUUGAACAAUGUAGUUCCACAUGUCUUUGGAGAUUAUUUGGGUGUGGGUGAAAUAAUACAAAAAUAAGGAGAAAACACACUCCCAUGGCAAAGAAACACAACUCCAACCAAUGAGAGAUAGCCACAGGGGCAGCACACGGAUCCAUGGGCCCACAAACCGCAUCAAACCGUCUUACCAAGGCAGGUAGCACCCACAACCGUCAUUAGGACCCACCUGGAAGUCUACCAAGAAGAAGGUUGCGAGUGGGGCCAGGAGGGGUUCGGUUGAAUCAUCUCUAGCUAGCUCCCCUCAUCCCCAGCUGGUGGGUGGUGGUGGUUGAUGGUGUCCCUACAUCGGUUAGAGGAGAUUCCCCCAAAUAUUCCUCCUGUAAACCACCUCUAUGGACCUAUACAUAGAGGGGUGUGCUCUCCAUUCCAACACACACCACAAGUUGAAUCACUGUCUCCCUCUUUAGUUUCCAAGUUUAUGGAGUUAGGCUAGAGUAGCUCUGCUCAAGGUUCCAAGUCCACUUGGAGUUAAGCAUAUGUCUCUUGUAUCGUUAUUUCCUAAAUUGACUUUAUGCUUAGUUCUUAUAUGCAUGAGUUAGUCUAAUACCCUUGCUCUAUUGAUAUGCUCGACUUAUAUGCUCGUAUGCUAGUCAUAUACCCUUGCUGUCGUAGUAUAGGCUUAUAUGCUCUCAUGUGUGCCUGUAGACCUUGCUAUAGUAUAUACUUGUUGUGUAUACAUACCAUGUAUAGGCUAGUCGAUCUAUACCAUGGCAUUGGUUCAAUAGCCAUGUUUUUGGUGGCUCCAGCCCUAGUCACAAUAGCUCGGGACAGCUGGAGUGUUGUUAAAAAUGCAAGAGUGGUGCUUGGGUUGUUUAGCAUCGUUGGAUAUGGGUUUGCCCCACAGGUUUCUAACGGUAGGCGACAGCUAGUGACAUCCCUGUCCGUCCUUCGUAAUCCCCCCACAUUCAGGUACGCCAUAAAUGUUCGUAAAUUAGCAGUAACUACGCCGGUACACCCAUAGGGUAUUGUCUCCCUGUAGUACCUUGGUGCAUAGAACUAAGUCCUAUACACUGUGUGUGUAUGUUUACGCUGAUAUGAUCUGUGCAGUAUAUAGGAUGUAUAUAUGAACCUAGAGCUAACUCCUAGUCCGUUCUCCAUAGCUUAGUUAUCUUGAGAUGAUUCUUUUGUAUGUGUAACACUACCCAUCUUAUCAUUAUCCUUGCUCCUGUCUUGUGUAAUAUAUCUACUCAUCCUAUGAUAUACUCAUAUGCAUAGUAAACUAUUUUGACCUACCCGCCUUCCUUUGGGAAAUAUGAUACCCUGGAAUAAUCCUAGGUGAAAUCCUACAACGGUAUAUCCAUGUGCUUGCGGAUUUAUUCAUGACCAUUAAAUAUACCAACAAUCAUCACUGCCGGUUAUGGGCGUCGUUAGUGAAGGGUUGGUAGUGAUGGGCAUCCCCUUCACCAAUGGACCUGGAACCGGCGGUGAUGGCUGUUAUAAAAAAGGGGACACCACCCAGCGUACCCCGCGACCCGGCUGGCCGCACCUCCCAUCAUCCCCGCCAGCCGCCCUUCCUUUUCGCCGGCCGAGCAUGGUCCUGGCCUUUGUCCCUACCGCCUCGCCUCCACCGCGACCCCCCGCCGAUGCCCUCAUGCCUGGCCCCCCUCAUCUUGCCGGCCACCCUCCCGAUGCGUCCACUAGGGCCCUCACACCACCAACCGCCCUUGCCUAGAGAGGGAGAGAGAGGAGGGAGGUGAGGCCACGCACCUCGUCCUACACCGCCGCUGUUUCUCCUCGGCCCACCGCGCCUCACCCCACACCACAGCCGCGCCUUGCCAUCUUACCGGCUGCGACGCCUCAUCUCACCGGCCACCGUUCCUCACCCCCACUUCGGUCGUCGCCGCUCCUUGCCCUACUGCUGCUCUUUGCCGCUGCGACUGAGCGGCGAGUGGAGGAGGAGGGACGGGGCAGGAGGAGGGCAAGAUCCGGGAGGAAGGGAGAGAUCUUGGGAGGUGGAGAUGGAAGGAUAUGGCGGAAGGGAGAGAUCCAGAGGGAGAGAGCAGGGGAGAGAGGGGGGCAUGUGGGGAGAGAGUGCGUGUGGGGUGGGGCCAGGCUGGUGGGAUGGAAGGGAGAGGGGCUAGACGGGCGCAGUGCAUUCAACUGGAUGAAGUAAAUAUUUCGGAUUCGAGACCCCAGCUUUAUUAUCACCGCUGGUCCGUAGUACCAUCCGGUGCCUGCUCGUAAUUUAAUUUGAAUCUGCGGUGAUGUUUUAUUAUCACCAUCGGAUCAUAUAAAAAAUCCGGCGGUUAAAAAUCCGCUGGUUUCGAUGAAAACCGACGGUGAUAGGAUGACUGUGAUAGUCUCUUCUCUAGUAGUGGUAUAUUAGUACCGGCUGCCAGACGGUGUUGCCGACCAGUACUUCUCCGGAGGCGAUUCAGUACUGCUGUUAGCAAAGCUUGUUCUCUAUGAAUCUGGGGAUGGAAAGCUAGUUCUCUAGUUGUGAUUUGUUACAUAUAUAUCUAUGAUAGUCUAGAAAUUGCAUGUCCUUCGUUGACAUAGUUGAAGCUGCGCGCUUCAAGAAUUUACUUCGUGCAGUCGUGCAGCAUAUUGGAUUAUCACCUAGACAGGAUACAUAGGUGAAGCAUUGGAUGUGAUUGUGGCCGAUAAUUAUGCAGGACGCUGUUGCAAUCAACCACCAAGAAGUCUGGAGUGAUGGGGUUGCCUCAUCAAUAAUUUUUAUAUAUGGCUGCAGUAUUAUUAAGCCCACGUCAAUAAUUUUUUCUCCGCACCAUAUAUCGAUGGGGUUGCCUCAUCAAUAAUUCGCGCAACCAGACAAGCUGCAGACUCAAUAUGGUACGAAGCUAGUUGCUCAGCCCACAUGCUCUGAUAUAACAUUGACAUCUGCUGAUCUACAGUAUAUAUGACCAGAAAUAUUGUGCCCACCUCAAUAACUUUCUGAAGUAUCGUGGGGAAGAACCUACUCGUACUAUGCCUCGGAACUAACUGACAUAUCGGCCUAGGCGGUCUAGGCCGAUUGGACUGGCUCUUCCUUGUGGCUUCUCACGUCCCCUUCGUCCCCAAGUAAUUUCAGGUGUUCUGCAGUUUCCUUUUCACUUGCAUCUGAGCCUCAUAUAUCAAUAGCUUCGGGAUAAGAAUGCCUCUUGAUAACCUUCCAAAUCCUCGCUUGAUUCACAUUGAUUCCGAAAUCAUCUUGCCAUAUCUUCAGAGACUUAGGUCCUAAGGCAUCAUGGAGGAUUGCUCGCCAGGAAUGAGCACCAUUGGGCUCCUGAGGACCCUAGGCCGAUCAGCCCGGGCUCUAUAGGUCGAUUGGCCCAGGCCCUCUCUGGGCCCGUUGGCCUUCAUCUUUCUCUGAGUCGACGCUUAUUCAGGGCUUUGUCCAAUUAUAGUCUAUUAUAGUCUAAUUUCCUACAAAAACAGAAUGUCCUCCAAAAUACAAUGCAUAUGUGAAAACAGCCCAAUUAUUAGGUAUGAUCAAUAGUUUAGGUAUAUAAAUUAAUAUUAUUAUUUAAGAUAAACAGGGGUAAAGGGUGUCAUUAAUAACAAGCGCCAACAAGCGUCCUGGCUGUUCAAUAAAUUUUUUCUAGUACCGAUUGGUAACACUAACCGGUGCUAAUAUGUACCCUUUAGUACCGGUUAUUUUACCAGGUACUAAAGGAGACAAGAGCAUCCUAACAUAAGGUUAAUAUCAUCCAUUUCAUGAGUAAAAUACUAUGAUUCAAAAAUAAUUCAAAUCCCUUAAGACAAUACCUAUCAAAUGAGUAAAUUGUAAAUAGAGUAAUCUUGAUCAAACAAUGUCCUAAUGAAACGGAACACUUCUGGUUCGUGUAGAGCACAAUAUAGAAAACAGUAGGGUAGCUGUACGAUUGACACGUGGUCCAUUAAUUCUUGAGCCAACACUAUGGACAUGUCUUCAUGAGUAGUGUACUAGUCAUGAUACAUGGUAUGCAGUAGGUGGAGGUAUUGACUUAGCCAUGCUAUGAGCACUUAGUUACAACAAACACUUUGCCAUUAUCGAGCAUCCCAAAUCACUACAAAAUCCAUAGUUUACCAUAUACUACAAAAUCUGAGUUAAAAUAAGAGCAUACACGGAAGAGUCCGAAUGCACCGGCACAUUGAAUUACUAGACAAAAAUUAUGGGACAAGGUUUUGGGUAACCGCAUGAAAAAUAUUGGAUUUUACUGAACACUUAGUUACAAUUACCAUGCCGUGAGCACUUAGUCACCACAAACAUUUAACCACUUUAGAUCAUCCUGAAUCCCUAUAAAUUCUAUACCUUACACCGUACCAUGAAAACGACAAGAACAGAGACAGAUGCGGUGAAAAUCUCCAGAGCAAGCCUGAAAUUAAAAUAAGAGGAGGCAGUCACUAUCGACAGGACACGGAGAUUGCUAGCCAUGACAGAGGAAGACAUGAUAUGAUAUUCACCUCUGAAAUGCAGCGUAGACUAAAUGAAGCACAAUUGCAAGUGAGUGUGGCAGAUAAUGGACCAUCGAGACCAUCGAUUGGUAUGAAGCAUGAUUAUCACCUAGACAUGAUAUCCUAGACAGGACGGUGAAUUGUAAAAAGAGUAAUCUUGAUCAAAGAAUGUCCUAAUGAAACGGAACAUUUUUGGUACGUGUAGAGCACAAUAUAGAAAACAGUAGAGUAGUUGUACGAUUGAACUGCAUCCAUCGACGUGGUGCAUGAAUUGUUGAGCCAACACUGGGGACAUGUCUUCAUGAACACCAUCUAGUGAGGACAGCAUGCAGAAAAAUAUCAAAACAUGUCAUAGGGAGGCAGACCAAUCUUGCGAGGUAGACGAAACGUGAUACACGAUCUGCCUACCUUGUCGUGGAUACCCCAAGUGAAGAUGUCAUAGAGGUGCAGACCAAGCUAGCAAGGAGGUAGAUGAAACGUGAUACACGGCCUGCCUACCUUGCCGUGGAUAUUAGUCCUGAUAUCAUUCUAUUGUUCAAGGAAUAACACUCAAUGCUGCUGCUGCUGCUGACCUGGCUCCAUAAAGUUAUAUUCCUCUAGCCGCUUGCACUAACUUUAUCUGAAGUAUUAUUCUCUCUGCACUGUAUAUAUGGUUACGGAGUUUGCUGGAGUAUCCGGGGGGAAGAACCUACAUAAUAUGUCUUGGAACUAACUGACAUUGAUUCACAGACAAGGUGCUGUUGUUGCCAUAUUUUAGAGCAUCCCAAAGGACUAUAAAUAAUAUAGUUUACCAUAUACCGUAUACCAUUAUAUGUUAGCUAAAAUAAGAGCAUAACAUGUCGCAGGAGUCCAAAAGCACCGGUUGAGGACCAGGUACAUUAAAUUACUAGAAAACGAAAGGGGACAAGGUUUAGGUAGCCACAUGAAAAACAUUUGAAUUUACUGUACCAUGAACACUUAGUUACCAUGCCGGGAGCACCUAGUUAACACUAACAUUUAGCCACUUUAGAUCAUCCCGAAACACCAAUGACCCUCAAUAGCGACAAAUUUUGGUUUAAAUGCCGUCACCAAUGAUCCUCAAUAGUGACGUGUUUAGGUUUAAAUCCCGUCACUAAUAACCCUUGGUAGUGACGUGUUUUGGUUUAAAUCUCAUCACCACUGAUCCUCACUAGUGACGUGUUUUUAGCAACACACGUUAUGAAUGACUUGUCAUUGGUGACAUGUUAAACGCGUUAUCUCAAUGGCAAAUCAAUGGUGACGUGUUUAAAAAAACAUGUCACCGUGAGAGUUAUUGGUGAAGGGUAAUUAAAAUGCAUCACUAAUUUUGUAGCAUUAGUUAUGAUAUAAUUUUGUAACGCAAAAAUCUACCAUAGUAACGAGGUUUAGAGCCGUCGCUAAUGUGGGUUUCUUACGUAGUGAUGCAAGCUCUACAAGGUGCUGUUGUUGCCAUUUUAAAGCAUCCCAAAUGACUACAAGUGUCUGGUUGAGGACUAAACAAAUUGAAUUACUAGAACCAAAUGUAUGUCCAGAACAAAGAAAGGGGUCAAGGUUUGGGUAACCGCAUUAAAAACAUUGGAUUUUACUGUACCAUGAACACUUAGUUACCAUUACCAUGCCUUGAGCACCUAGUUACCACAAACAUUAAUUUAGCCACUUUAGAGGUUCCUCAAUCACUAUAAAUAAUAUACCAACACCGUACCAUGAAAACAUCAAGAAGAGAGACAGGUACAUGGACCACCAUCAAGUGAGUAGUGACAGCAUGCACAAGAAUACCCGGAACCUUUUAGCUUGUCUGUAGUGAUCUGUUUUCUUCCCCGUAAAAUCCAUGAGUAUUGCCACAAAUAAUGAAAGAGGCUGACCAAGCUAGCAACGAGGUAGAGCAAACGUGAUACACGUAGGUUUCAUUCAAGACAUCCAUGUAAGAUUCAUUCAAAACAUUCAUGGAAAUUUCUUAUAAGUUUUCAUGUAAAUUUCAUUCAAGACAUUUGUUAGAGGUGUUGUAUAUAUACUUAACGUACAUAUAUCUAUGAUUUCAUGGUUGUUAGUGAUGGCAGAUGAGGAGCAUGCAAGGUAUUUAAUGGAGCAGAUUAUUGCUAGUGGCAGUGGCUCCAACCUGCCCGUAACGUACACCGACGAAGAGGGCAGCCAGGCGGACAUGUUCCUCAACAUGUCCGGUGAUGGCAAUGAAGAGCCCGAGCAAAACCUUGCCGUGACGGAAGGUUCCAGCGAGGUAUAUAUCAUUUCCAUUAUUUUACCCCAUCUAUAAUUUCAUAUUCAUUAUUACUAUGUACUAAUUAACGAAUCUUGAACCGUUAGCCCUCUAGAUCAACGAACCGAAAUAAGCCCCGAGGUCUUACAAAGAUAAUGCAGGGAAGGCUUCACAUCAUGGAAGUCACAGAAGAGGGCACCUCGGUUGCUCCCGAACAUGUGGCAAGAACGUACGUGAGUCAAACCGGGGCAAUCGUAAGGGACAACGUGCCCAUCAGCAUCAGGGAAUGAAAGAGCAAUAGAAAUGAUCUAUACGCACCCCCGGAUACACAAAAGGAUAUGCUGUGGGCAAAUAUCAAGAAACACUUCACAUUUCCCAAAGGAUAUGUUGAAAAAGAUGUGAAAGCGUGGAUGCUGAAGAAGAUGGCCACCCAAUUCCAAACAUUCAAGAAGAUGUUGGAUGCCAACUUCGUCAAGAAGGGUCGAACUCCGGGUUUCGAUGAGUGGCCAAAGUUAAGGGACCACUGGGAGUCAUUUGUCGAAUACAAGACGAGCGAAGGUGGUGCCAGUAAGGUUCGCAUCAAUGUUGCCAAUGCUAGCAAGGAGUACCAUCAUCAUCUAGGGCGACGUGGUUACAGCACUGCAAUUCCCAGAUGGCGCAAGAUGGAACAAGACUUGAUCGAUCGGGGUAUCGUACCAGCAACUCUUGACUGGCCUGAUCGAUUGAAAAAUUGGUAUUAUGCUCAUGAAGGCAAUCUGAGCCAAGAGGAUGCGACAUUGGUCUUCAAUAAAACAAUACAUCAGAAGGUCGGAAGGCUUAUUAGGAACAUUGAAGAUGCUAAAGCUGGGAGGUUCAAGGUGGAUAGAGAGAAUGAUGAACUCACAUUGGCCCUCGGGACUGUCAUCUCUAGCACUUCCAGCUCCAGGACUAUCAUCACCACCGGGACCGUCGCUUCUUGCUCGAUCACAGUCUCCAUCUCCAGCACAUCCUGGUGGUGCGAGCGACGACGACAACAACACCCCUCCCUGCCCACCAUUGCCGGGACUAAGACCCGCAUUGUGUAAGGAACCUGCAACACCACUGAAGAAGUCGCGACCACCACCUUCAAGGCAAGUCAGCAAAAGAAGAAAGCAGAGAAGCCUAAACCCACUGAGAAGCCAGCGACUGAUAUGACCGAUGCGGAAAGAUGGAAGGCACUCAAAGAAGAAUGCAUGGAGUGGUUCAGAAAAAGGACCAAAGAAAGAAAAGGAAAGGAGAUGGAGCCACCGCCAGUAGAUCCAAGAAAAUUAUAAUUUUUUAUUAAGAUGUCAAAAGGAGCUAAGAAGAUGAUGCCACAACUAUCAAACUACGACUGGGCGUUAGUCAAGGCUGAUGAGAGUUAAAAAAGGAAAGGAAAGUCAUCGUCAAGUGGUACUGUCCCCCAGCUCGAGGAUCUACCAGAAAAAGAUGCUAAAAAGAUAGUAGCAAUGCUCUUGGAUCAACAAACACAUAUAUCGUGAGAUUAAUGCAAGAAACAGGUAUGUCCCUUGCUGAAUGUCUAUGGCAAGUUGAUAUGCUAGCUCCAGAGCCAGUUGUACCGAAAUGGACCUUUGAGCUAGGCAAGCCUCUAGUAAGGCCUGAGUUGGUACAGAAGCUAUCCACAUAGAUGCAUGAAUUCCAUGAAUGGUACAUGAAGCAGUCUGCCAAUGAGAGGGAAAUGUUCGGUCUCGAGGAAAAACUAAUAAUUUUUUUCGGCGAAGGCGAGAAAGUCGUAUGAAUCAAAUUCAAGGAUAUAUAUGAAGUGAACCAUCAGGAUGCCCUUGAUGUCUCUCUCAUCAGCGCCUAGGUUUUGUAAGUGUAUGUUUAUCUAUACGUAAAUUUUGGCUCAUAUCAUUAUUUUUUUUGCGUGCGUCACCCUACUAACUUCGUCUUCCAUUUUAUGUAGGAUGCUAAUUCAGACGUGCCGCAUAGAAGCGUACUUCCAUGUUGGCUUCAUGGAUCCAUCCCUAGUUAACCAAAAGCCGAUACGGAAGUAGCUAGAGAAAACGUUGGAGGUGGUGUACAACUUUCUGGACAAACAAAACUACAGAAUAGGGGCAAUAUGUGAGGGUCUUGUAGGAUUCCUAGUGGACGAGGUGAUAAAUCCAUAAGGAGAAUAUCAUUACAACGGACGAGCAUUAGACACACUGAGCAACACCUAGACGGGAGGAUCCUAGGAAUGACCUCAACAGAUUUUGGUAUAAAUAGUAAUUGUGUAAAUACUAGUUUGAUUUGUAUAGGAAUAUACUAAGAAUUGUAUAUAUAGUAAUUGUACAAAUACUAGUUUGAUUUGUAUGAAUACUAGAUUGAUUUUAUUAUAAAAAAGUUUUAAGUCGUACGUGCAUGCGCCUACAAAGGCGCGGAUGCCCUUUAAUCCCAGUCGGAAAAACAAACCGGUACUAAAGGGGCUCGUGCCGCACCUGGCAUGACCACCCCUUUAGUCCCGGUUGAACGACCCAGGACUAAAGAUCUCCGCGUCUCAAAAAUUUUAUCUCGGAUGCUUUUUAGAGAGAUUUGAGGCCUAUCAACCAAGACUAAUAUCGAGUUUUCUACCAGUGGAACUAACUAACGUUCACAUGCUUUUGACAUUCACCUGCCAUUUGGUGUAGACAAGGGCACCCUAACAUAUGGUUAAUAUUAUUCUUGAAAGAAAAUCCUUUGAUUCAAAAUACUUCAAACCUAAUAAUACAAUACUUCUCACAUCUCAAAAAUAUGAGACGGCCCGACAGUAUUCUAACCGACGCAAUAAUAUUUUGAGGGCAGCACUACUACAGCGACCCUCAUUCGUGCCGGUGCUGGGACUCCUAUCACGACCCUGAUACAAAUGAGGGUACAUUAUUGGUGCCAGUGCUAGAACAGCCACCAAUAACUUGCUAAACGUGCUGUUACACUCACUACAGGGACCAAGAAGGUAGAUAAAUUACACGACAUAGCCUUGGUUGCCGUGGAAGCGCCAAGAAGGGAGACAAAUUACAGGGACCACACCAUCAAGUAGAUAGUGACAAUAUGCAGAUGAAUACCCGCGCCUGUUAGCAUGUGAACUGACCACACCACGAAACGUGAUACACGGCAAGCGUACCAAGGCCUUGCUGUGCAGACUAUGCGUGGACAACACAUGGUACCUGACCGCUUUUGGCCUCAGACACAUCGAAAAACUGCAUCGUUCCACGUUGUACAUCCACUGCUAGUUUAUCUAUAUUACAUAAUAUAUUAUUAGCUAUUUGAAUAGAAUGAACCAAUUAAAAAAUUGCGUUGUAUUUUAGUACCGGCUGCAGGAUGGUGUUACCAACCAGUACUAAUUAGCCUGUAGGAGUGAUGGUUAUUAGACUUGGUACUGUUGUUACAUCAUUAACCUAAUUGUGCGCGGUAUGAAUUUGGGGAUGCAAAGCUAGCUCUCUAUGAAUGUGAGGGACGGAAAGCUAGUUCUCUAGUAGUAAUUAGCUAUAUAUAUAUGACAGUCAAGAAAUCGAACACUAUGCUGCUACGAGUCACCAUCAUUUCCUUCAUUGAGAAUCUGACAUAGGUGAAGCUGCUUCAAGAAUUUCCUUCGCGCAGUCGUGGAGCUUAUUGGAUUAUCACCAGGACGGGACACGGAAAUGGCCAGCAAUGAAGCUGAUUGCCGUCUGAGGAAGACUACAUACUUUACCUAUGAAAUGAAGCGAUUGCAUAGACUAAUGAAGCAUUGCAUAUUUGCAUGUGAGUGUGGCAGAUAAUUCUGCAGGACAUGAUUGCAAUCCACGCACCAUCGAGAAGACUGGGGCGAUGGGGUUGCCUCAUCAAUAAUCACGUGGAUGCAUGCAUGCAUGUUCCCGCAACCGGACAAGGGUCUGAUAUAUGGCUAUAGUAUUACUGAGCCCACAUCAAUAAUUUCCGCUGGUGUAUCGUGUGGGAAGAAUCAACAUACUACACCUCGAGUUCUUGGAACUAACUGACGUUCACAUGCAACCUCCACAAGGUGCUGUAUAUAUGCUUUUGACAUUCACCUGCCAGUUCGUGUAGAGGACACCCUAACGUAUGGUUAAUAUUAUCCAUUUCAUGAGUAAAAUACUGUGAUUCAAAAAUACUUCAAAUCCCUUGAGACAAUACUUCUCACUUGACUAACCACUAACCAACCCCGAAACCCUAACUCAACUCCGAACCCUAACACCUAACGGCAUAACCACUCCGUUUUGCCAGCCAGAUGGAGGAACUGGCUGGGAGGGAGAGAGGGCAGCGGUCCAGGGUUGAAAACGACGGGCGAGCGCAGUAACAUGUGGAGGAGGAAGUGCCACGUAUUCGUUCACCGCUAUUGGGCAGCGACACACAACACGCCCAAUAAGAUCUUCGCACGGUAGAAGGACGUCAUGUAUUCAAUAAUGUUAUUGGUCCUCCAUGUGCAGAAGGGCGCGUAUGGAAUAACAAGUAGGGACACUGCAACUAAUCUACUCUGCUCGUCCAGUCCCUAGCCUAUAAAUAGAUGCCAUGCUAGCUCUUGUUGUGCUCACAGUUAAUCCGAUUACACACGAGCUCCUCUCCCUAGCCAAGACACAAUCAUAGUAUGAUGAAGAACAUGGCACUAGCCGGCAAUGGUAUGAAGAAGUUAAUCCUCGCUGUUCUCUUACUGUGUCUAGUUAUAGGGCAGAUACAAGUGGAAGCUAAGAGCUGCUGCCCAUCCACCACUGCAAGAAAUGUCUACAAUACCUGCCGUUUGACGGGUGCAUCCCGUCCAAUGUGUGCAAAACUGUCAGGCUGCCAAAUUAUCAGCGGGAACAAAUGCAAGCCCCCUAACGACCACCUCACCCUUGACCCGGACACUGGUAAAUAAUAAAUUUAUCUCACUUGAUUUCUUUGUGUUUUGAGUCGUUAAUGUAUUUUCCAUCUGAUGAAACGCAUUGGUUUUGCAUUGAAGAGGAAGUUAAUGUGCUUAACUUCUGCAAGUUGGGGUGUGCGUCGUCUGUGUGCAACAACAUCAACGCUGGUAAGCACCUUUUGCUCAGACAGAGAAAACAAUAAUCAUUAAUUAGCGGCAGCUAGAAUCCUAUAAUCUAAUAUAUAUAUAUAAUUUUAUCAGCUCUGGGAAAUGAAGAGGCGAACGAUGCCGUUGAGAGUUGCGACCAAGCCUGCUCUAGCUUCUGCAGCGUGCAUGUUGGCAGCGCCACCGUGGUUGCUUAAGCAAAUGCAUCCAACUAGAUCGUCCUUGUGCUGAAUAAUUGGAUAUCGUAUCCACUUAAAGCUGCCUUGUGUAGUACGUCUUUGUGUCUCUCUUUAUAUUCCAAUAAGGUCGGUGAUCUUGAUGCCACACACUCAGAUGUGUGUUCAUCUCCAGAUACUACUCCAUGCUACCUGCCCUUUGUGUUUUGUUCAAUAACUGGGUAUCAUAUCCGAGCCAGUAUGCCGUCUGUUUUGUGUUUGUUUCCUUCUAGUUCCAAAGGGGUCAUCAUGAUGUUACCUUCUUUCAAUAUGGUGCUUUGCAUGACUACUGUUGUAUGGUACCAUCUUGUGGCCAAUAAGUACAUCUUAUCCUAUGACCCUUUGCUAUGACCCUUUGCAAAUAAGUAGAAGAUUGUUAUAAGCGUCAAUACUCAGUAUAAUUGAUCGCUGCUGUGAGUUCCCUUUCAGCUUAUCGUAGGCAUACAUUAUUGCUAGCACGGUAAAGCCAACCAACACGAAUGAUGAAGUAAACGUAGCGGUACUUCUGUAUACCAACACCCUUACUUAAAUGUACCGGUGUCAUUCCCUACUGGCACAUAUAUUCUUAUAUGCUAGCCAGCUUGUAAAAUUAACCAAUUAAAAUAAUUAUUUCAAGAUAGAAAUAACUUAUUGGCUUCUCGAAGCAUGUGUAAUGUGAAUUCAUGAGACUUCAAGCAACCAGGAAAAGACACUAAUAAACAUCCAGAUCCCAUCCAGCACACAUCCAUGCACAUAUAUAACCCACAUAUUGCUCCAGCACACAUCCAUGCAUAUACGAUAUCCAAAUGUUAAUAUUGUAGACAUCCAUGCCUGAACUAGUCUGCCACACAAGUCAUUGAUGCUACAAAUUCUACAAUCGCAGCAUGUGCAUACAACUUACAGAAUGAGAUAAUGUACCAAAACUAAAACGUUAGCAUCAACUGUGCUUCAACCAAAGUUGUCAUCCCAACUCUCCUCUUCAUCCAUGCCAUUCUUGUCAUGGCCGUCGCUGUCAGUCUCCAUGGCAUUGCCAAUGCUGUGUAUGUCUUGGUAGGAACCUACAUGUGAUGAACAGUAACCUGCAAAAAGAGCUCAAAGGAUCUUGUUCUCAUAUUGUAGCUGUGAAAUUCUUGCAAGUAGUGUUGCAAUCUGUUCACUUUGAACCAAAAGAGCUCAAAGGAUCUUGUCCUAAAAGUUCCUCUUAAAGCUUAUGGGUUUGCUGGUGGAACCGGAAGGGCUUGAUGCAGCAGAUGCCAUUCUGCAAUAGAGAAAAAUUUAGAGGGCAGUACUAGUUAAAAUUUGAUGCAGCAGAUACACACGAAACUAGUAUUUAUACAAUUCUAUAUAUGUAAUAAUUUGUCCCCUAAAUUUUUAGGAUCCUCUUGAUGGUGGUGAGUCUUCCAGUAAGGCAAUUGAAUGUCCGUCAUAAUAAAAUUCUCCUUAGGAUUUAUCAUCUCGUCAACCAGAAAUCCUAGGAGUGCUUCUUGGAUUGCCAAAACCCUAUCCUGAUGCAGGAGUUCGUCCUUAAGCCUUAACAUUUGUAAUUUGGAAAUAUGUGAAAGUUAAACCAACAAUUAAAAUAUAAGGAGCCUUAUCAUCAUUUCCAUGUGUUGCGAAUUAAAAUAAUGAAUAAUACAGUGUUAGGUGAAAAUUCAAGAAACAAAAUUUUGCAUAGAGAUAAACGUCCAACAUUAUUACAAGUUAAGGUAGUUUUAAAUAUCCUUGUAAUCUUCCUUUGAUUUCCUCAACGAUUCGAAGACAAUAACCUUACUUCUAUCAAUGAUAAUUAUAAGGAGAACCCAGUGAAAACUGUGUAUUCAUAUUAGAACUACCUAAGGUUAAUUAGGUUAGGAAAGGAAAUCGAAAAUAGAUGGUACCCACACUUACUUAAAGUUGUCGGGCAAUAGUAUGUAAUGCUUGUAAUUCCGUUGCUCCAAGAAUUUGUAUAUGUGGUCCAAUGUAGACUUUGGUUGAUUCCGUAUCUGCUGUUGGUUAAAUAAGUGUUUCUAGCCAUUACUAGCCGUUAGAACUCGGACUAAAGGGGGCUCUUUAGUACGGGUUGAUAUUACUAAUCGGGAUUAAAGAGCCCCCAUUAGAGUUGGUUUUUGGACGCGGAACUAACAACUCCUUUAGUCCUAAGUACAAAAAUGACUGAAAUAUUUGUUGCUGGAUGGAAGGUCCUUUCUCUACCAUGAAUAUUGCCAGAAAGAAUUGAAAGAGACUGCUUGCUAAAAAUAUGUCAUAGAUGUAGACCAAGCUACCAAGGAUGUAGACCAAACAUGAUACACACCAUGCGUACCUUGCUGUGCAGACUAUGCAUUGACAAGAUAGAAAUAAUUAAUUCUAAUAUGCGUACCCUUACUUACACUAGUAGAGAAUUGGGCUUUAAUCCCGGUUGGUAAGGUGCAAAUAUCUCGAAAAUGCAUCCGGGAUAAACCAACCGGGACAAAAGGGGGAUCUUUUAUCCCGGGUCACUCAACACGCGAUUUUUCACAAAAAAAAAA
rnacentral:lncRNA from 1 species